rnacentral:lncRNA from 1 species
UUUUUUUUUUGUAAAUGUUAAAAUAUGUGUGGUGUGAGUAUAUAUGAUGGUUCCCCAACUCAUUAUGGAGGUUCUGAUAAAGAUUUUUCAGAAAAAAAUGAUUUGGGUGCUCUGAGGCGCCCAGAUCCAUGGGCUAAUCUACAUGAAAAAUCGAUGAAUUUGGGUAAUUCCUAGGAAAUGGUUUGUAAUUGAAAAAAUAUGCUUAAAAAAAUUGUGUGAGUAUGUGUGAUGGUUUCACAACUCAUUCAGGAGGUCCUUUUAACGUUUUUUUUCAGAAAUAAAAUUUUGGGUGCUCUAGGACACUAGAUCCAUGGGCUAAUACACAGAAAACAUUGACGAAUUCGGGUAAUUCCUAAAAAAUGGCCGGUAAAUACAAAAUGUGUGAAAAAAUUAUGUCAGUAUACGUAAUGGUUCCUCAACUCAUUACAGAGUUCCUUAUAAAGUUUUUUCAAAAAAAAAAUUGGGUGCUCAGAGGCGCCAUAUUCAUGGGCUAAUACACACGAAAAAGCAAGGAAUUUGGGUAAUUUCUAAAAAAUGCCAUGUAAAUGCGCAAAAUAUGCGCUAAAAAUGGUGUGAGUAUACAUGAUGGUUCCCCAAUUCAUGACGGAUGUCUUCAUAAAGUUCUUUUUUUAAAAAAAAAUUAGGUGCUCUGAGGUGCUAGACCCAUGGUCUAAUACACACAAAAAAUGGAUGUAUUUGCGUUAUUCCAACAAAGGGCUUGUAAAUGCGUAAAUGAGCGUUACAAAAAUGACGUGAGUAUAUGUGGUGGUUCCCCAACUCAUUAUAGAGGUCGUCAUAAAGUUUUUUUUAAAAAAAAUUGGGUGCUCUAGGGUGCCAGAUCCAUGGGCUAUAACACAUGAAAAAUCAAGGAUUUUGGGUAAUUCCUAAAAAAGGGGUCUAAUGCGAAAAUAUGUGUUAAAAAUGGUGUGAGUAUACGUGGUGGUUCCCCAACUCAUUGCGGAGGUCUAUAUAAAGUUUUCUGAGAAAAAAGUGUCGAUGCUCUGGGGUCUAGAUCCAUAGGCUAUAAUACAUGAAAAAUCAAUGAUUUUGGGUAAUUCUUAAAAAAGGGCCUUUAAAUGCGAAAAUAGGCGUUAAAAAUUGGUGUAAGUAUAUGUGGUAGUUCCCCAACUCAUUACGGAGAUCCUCAUAAAGUUUUCUAAGAAAAAAAAAUUGGGUGCUCUAGGUUGCCCGAUCCAUGUUCUAUAAGCACACGAAAAAUUCAGGAUUUUAAAUGAUUCCUAAAAUAAAUCCUGUAAAUGAGGAAACACGUGUUAAAAAAUUGUGUGAGUAUACGUGGUGGUUCCCUAACUCAUUACAGAUGUCCUCAUAAAAGUUUUUUAAGAAAAAAAUUUGAGAGCUACGGGGCGCCAGAUUCAUGGGCUAUAUAAAAUCAAGGAUUUUGGGUAAGUCAUAAAAGGGGGCCCGUAAAUGUGGAAAUAGACGUUAAAAAUGGUGUGAGUAUAUGUGGUGGUUCCUCAACUUAUAACACAAGUCCUCAUAAAUUUUUUAGAGAAAAAAAAUGUUGGGUGCUCUGAGAUUCCACAUCCAUGGGCUAUAACACACGAAAAAAUUGAGCAUUUUGUUUAAUUCCUAAAAAAUGGCCUAUAAAUGCAUAAAUAGGCUUUAAAAAUAGUGAGACUAUACGUGGUGGUUCCCCCAAUCAUUAUGGAGGUCCUCAUAAAGUUUUUUAAAAAAACAAAUUUGGGUGCUCCGGGGUGCCAUAUCCAUGUGUUAUAAACACACGAAAAAUCAAGGAUUUUGGGUAAUUCCUAAAAAAAGUCUUGUAAAUGCGAAAAUAGGUGUUAAAAUGGUAUGAGUAUACGUGGUGGUUCCCUAACUCAUUACAGAGGUCCAUAUAGAGUUUUCUAAGAAAAAAAAUUUGGGUGCUCCGGGGUGCCAGAUCCAUGAACACAUGAAAGAUCAAGGAUUUUGGGUCAUUCCUAAAAAAAAGCUUGUAAAUGCGGGAAUAGGUGUUAAAAAAUGGUGUGUCUAUACGUGGUGGUUCCCCAACUCAUUAUGGAGAUCCUGAUCAGUUUUUUGAGGAUAAAAUUUGGGUGCUCCGGAGCGCCAUAUCCGUGGGCUAUAACACACGAAAAAUCGAGGCUAUUAGGUAAUUCCUAAAAAGGGACCUGUAAAAGCGGAAAUAGGCGUUAAAAAUAGUGUGAGUAUACGUGGUUGUUCCCAACUCAUUACAGAGGUCCUCAUAUAACUUUUCGAGUAAAAAAGUUUGGGUGCACCGGGGUGCCAGAUCCAUGGGCUAUAACACACGAAAAAUUGAGGAUUUUGGGUAAUUCAUAAAAAAGGGAAUGUAAAUACGGAAAUAGGUGUUAAAAAUGGCUUGAGUAUAUGUGGCAGUUCCUCAACUCAUUACAGAGGUCCUCAUAAAUUUUCUUGAGAAAAAAAAAUUAGAUGCUCUGGGGCGCCAGAUCCAUAAGGUAUAACAGACGGAAAAUCGAGAAAUUUGAAUAAUUUUUAAAAAAGGGCAUGUAACUUCAGAAAUAGGCUUUUAAAAUGGUGUGAUUGUAAGUGGUGAUUUCCCAAAUCAUUACGGAGGUCCUCACUAAGUUUUAUGAAGAAAAAAAAUUUGGUGCUCCGGAGCGCCAGAUCCAUGGACUAUAACACAAAAAAAAUUGAGGAUUUUGGAUAAUUCCUAAAAAGGGCAUCUAAAUGCCGAAAUAGGCGUUAAAAAUGGUGUGAGUAUAAGUGGUGGUUCCCCAACUCAUUAUGGAGGUGUAACGACCAGUAAAACGAAUAAGUGAAAUUAGAGCCUAAGUAGUGUGUGUGAGUUGUUAUGAGGUUUCAUGUUGUGAAAUAUUGUCCCGAUCUAUGGUUGAGGGGUUAAACGUCAAGGUACGACUCUCCAAGGACCACCCUAGGGGUCCUUGAGGAGGACCCUAAAGCCUAACCCCAAGGCUGCCCCAAAAAAGAAAAGUUGCUAAAAUAAGGGUGACCUACGGAAGGGGUCUACGCCCCGUGGAUGGCCUCCGUAGGUCAAGGCCCACAAAACCAAGCCACAGCCAUGAACCACGAUUGACCAGGACGAGACGGGACCCAAUCCACGGUCCGUGGGUUGGUGUCGUGAGUCACCAUCUGGUUUGUUGUCUUGGUUCGGCUUAAGCAAGGGUGGUUUGGUAAAUUAUUAUGGUACUUUAAGAGUAUUAAAAGUAUUAAACUCUAUUUUUCAAUUCAUUAUUUCAAAACCCAAAUUAGAACCCACCUCUCUUCUCAAAAGUUCUCUCUUUAGAAACCUCCAUUGGAGGUGAAGGAUUCACUCUUCCAUAAAAGGUAUGGUAGUUUUCAUCCUUGACUUAGUUUCUUUCAAAGAGCCAAUCUCAAAAGUGAUUUUAAAUCUCCAAUGUUUCCCCAAAACCCCCAUUUUUCAAUCUAUGCAUGGGUUCGAUUCCAAACGAUUUUCAAAGGCUUUAUUGCAUUGAAUUAUGAAUGAAUUGUGGAUUUAAAGAUGAAUUAAGAUGAUUUCUUUAUUGAACCCAUGUUUUCCCCCAAAUUCUUAAGUUGUGAUUUGUGAUUGGGAUUUAAUUAAUUAUGAAGUAUGUGAAUUGUUUAUGUGUAUAUGGGUAUAGAAUGUUGAAAUUAUGUUAUUACUCUUGCCUAAUUGUAUUGAUCUAAGGUGUGUGGGUGAAUGUGAUCCAUGGCCUUGAAAGGCAAGGCUCAUAGGUUAAAGUAUGAAUAUGAUGUUUAGGAUAUGUAUGUGCAUUCAAUGAUAGCAUGAUGAACAUGUUUAGAAUGUAAUAUUAGAAUAUAAUUGUGUUAUUAUUGAAAACAUAUUCUCAAUUAACACUCAUGAAUGAUGAUAAUGGAAUGUGAAGGGCUUUCUCCUAUGUAUUGUAUAUGUUGAAUUGGUAGGCUUAGGCAUCAUUUCCUUGUAUAAAUGGAAGUAAUGUGAUUGGGAUAUCUUGAAUGGGUAGGUUUAGGCAUCCUUUUCUUUUAUAAUGAAUGUAUAUUCAUAAAUGAAUGAUGAAGUAUUCUAGUCUAUGACAUGAACCGGUAGACCUAGUGUUGGUAGCCCUUUCAUGUGUGAAAUGAUGAACCUUGGAUCGGUAGACCUAAUGUUGGUGGCCCUUCAUGUUGAGUCUAGGAACUAAUGUAAUAUUAAAACCUUGAAGUGGUAGACCUAACGUUGGUGGCCUUUCAUGUGUGAAAUGAUGAACCUUGUAUCGGUAGACCUAAUGUUGGUGGCCCUUCAUGUUGAGUCUAGGAACUAAUGUAAUAUUAAAAUGAAUCGGUAGACCUAAUGGUGGUGGCCCUUUCUUGCGUAAUCAACCUUGGGUCAGUAGGCCUAAUGUUGGUGGCCCUCUCAAGUGCAAUAAUGUUAAUGAAAUGAAUACUCUAUGGAAAUGGAGGCUAAGCACCGAGUGGAUAUGGUAAGAUGGAAACUCUCCCAAUAUUAGGCUAGGGUUCCAAUAAACAUCUUCUUAUCCCAUAACUAUGUGCCCACAUAAGAUAUUAGCUAGUGGUUUCGAUCUACGCUAAAAUGUUACUAGUUCUACCUUAGGCAAGUAGAACACCUUCCUUCGGUGUAGGGUCAUACGACACUAGAUUCCAUGAUUUAGCUCUCAUGGUCUAUGUCGGUUAAUGCCUAUUCCCAUCAUGUGAGAUAUGCAUUAUGGUUUUUUUAUGAGUUCUACGAAGUGUGAGUGGUAGUAUGGGAUGACAUCCAUGCAUUGCACUAGUAGGCUUUGAGAGGGUCAUAGUGAGUUUCUCUAAGUCUUAAUGGCUAAUGUAUGAAUGUGUCCUAAAUGAAGAUAAUGAAGAAUGUUGACUCUUAUAUGCUUAAAUAAGAUGAUGUAUGCUAUACUUGGAUUGUAUUAUGAGUUACUUCCUUGUCAUGACUUAUAAACGUAUCGAAUGUGCCUUGUCUAUGGUGACUUCAAAUGAGUACUUAGUGUGAGUAGUAGUAUGGGAUGCUACUUGCACAUUGCACAAGUAUGACUUAGGGUUGUCUUAGGUGAUGGUCCUUUUGUGAUUAUAUGACUUAUGAAAUGUUUAUGUCUCUUAUGUAUGAGUAUUGUGUAAAGAUGGAAAGGUUUAAUGGUAAGUUCACUUUUGGUGACCUUAAUGUGGUACUUUAGUGUGGAUGGUGGUAUGGGACGCUAUCCAUACAUUGCACAAGGUAUAGUUUGAGGGUUACUUGAGGUAAAGGCUUAAUGUGAAGUUAAUGGCUUAUAUGUUGAUUAUGUCUCUAUUGUGAUGUAAUGACGUGUAUGUUGGUUAUGUUUGAAUAUUAUGCCUCUUAUACUUAUGUUCAUGAAGUUUUAUCAAAAUGGAAUAAAAGCAUGACUUUCAAAUAAAAUGUUCGUUUAUAGCAUGGUUUUUGCAUGGCUAUCAUACUUAGUACUUAAUUGUGCUAACCCAUAUUUCUUCAUGUUUUACUACAAGUGUAGGUUCUGGAAAGUGAGUUGCUUUCUCUCUAGUUGAAGCUUGGAUUUGAGAUUCUCCAAGACUAAGUGGUAUGUCCUCAUAGAUCGAGGAUAAGUACUUGAUGUUUCCAUUUCUUUCAUGUAAAAGACUAUUGCUAGACUUUUCGAUUGUAAAGGGUUGUGACCCACUUUUGUAUCGGAUGUUGUGUUUAGAUGGCCAUGUGAGACAAUAGACUUACGUUGUGUUUCAAAGUGUUUUAAAUGAGCAUUUUGAUUGUAUGGAUGUAAAUAAGUUUUAAUUCUGUAUCGUUUUCCUUAUAACGACUGUUAUGAAUGCUAUGAGGCUUGUAUAAGACUUUUAGGAGUCUUGUACGCCGUGUCGCAUCCGGGGUCUAGACUCGGGUCGUGACAGGAGGUCCUUGUAAAGUUUUUUGAGAAAAAAUAUUUUAGUUGCUUUGGGGUGCAAGAUCUAUUGGCUACACACGAAAAAUCAAGGAUUUUGGAUAAUUCUAAAAAAGGGGCUUUAAAUGCGGAAAUAUGUAUUAAAAAUGGGGUGAGUAUACGUGGUGAUUCCCCAUCUCAUUAAGGAGGUCCUCAUACUUAAGGAAAAAAUUUGGUUGCACUGGGCCGCAAAUCCAUGGGCAAUAACACACCAAAAAUCGAAAAAUUUGGAUAAUUCCAAAAAAAGGACCUGUAAAUGGAAAAAUAGGCGUUAAAAACGGCUUGAGCAUACAUUGUGGUUCCCCCAACACAUUGCUGAUGUCCUCACAAAGUUUUUUAAGAAAAAAAUGGGUGCUCCAAGGUGUCAGAUUCAUGGGUUAAAACACACGUCAAAUUGAGGAAUUCGGGUAAUUACUAAAAAGGGCCUAUAAAUACGGAAAUAGGCGUUAAAAAUGGUGUGAGGAAACGUGGUUGUUCCCCAACUAAUUACGAAGUCCUCAUAAAGUUUUUUGAGAAAAAUAUUUUGGGUGCUCCGGGGCACCAGAUCCAUGGGUAAUUCCUAUAACACACGAAAAAUCAAGGAUUUUGGGAGUUCUGUUGGGGAUUUCUUGAAAGGCUAGCUUUAUCUCUGGGUGGUAAGGCUCUUUCCUUUUCUCUCAAAGGAUUAGGCUGCUCCGGAGCGCUGGCCCACGCAUUGCACAUUUUGUUCAUCCAAGCUGGGCAGAGCUAGGUUCAAGAUAGAAAGGGAGAGCCCUUCCAUUUCUUUGAUGCACACGACUUUUUUACGGAGUCUGCUUCGCCCUAUGGAAACUAACCUUUGUGUCCAUGUCGUGGGAAAUAAUCUUUUUGAAUCAAUAAGCCUAUUGAAUCAACUUUUGGGAAUAUAAAGGGAAGGGGAAUAUGCCAAUGAACUUGUUGCAGGUAAUUCCUCAAAAAGGGAUUGAAAAUACGGAAACAGGCGUUAAAAAUGGUGUGAGUAUACAUGGUGGUUCCUCAACUCAUUACGGAGGUCCUCAUAAAUUUUUUUGACAAAAAUAGUGUGUGUCCUCUGGGAUGCCUGAUCAAUGGGCUAUAACACAUGAAAAAUCGAGGAAUAGGAGUUUAAAAAAUAGUGUGAGUAUAUGUGGUUGUUCCCCAUCUCAUUACGGAUGUCCUCAUAAAGUUUUUUGAAAAAACAAAUUGGGUGCUCCGGGGCGACAUAUCCAUAUGCUAUAGCACACAAAAAAUCGAGGAAUUUGAUAAUUCCUAAAUUAGGGUCUGUAAAUGCGGAAAUAAGCAUUAAAAAUGGUGUGAGUAUACGUGAUGGUUCCCCAAUUCAUUAGAAAGGUUGUCAUAAAGUUUUCUGAGAAAUUUUUUUUAGGUGCUCCGGAAGACAGAUCCAUAGGUAUAACACACGAAAAAUCAACGAUUUUGGAUAAUUCCUAAAAAAGGGUCUGUAAAUGCGAAAAUAGGUAUUUAAAAAAUGGUGUGAGUGUACGUGGUGGUUCCCCAACUCAUUACAAAAGUCUUCAAAAUGUUUUUUGAGAAAAAAAAACUUGGUGCUCCGGGGUGCCAGAUCCGUGGGCUAACAUAUGAAAAAUCGAAGAUUUUGGAUAAUUCCUAAAAAAGGGUCAGUAAAUGUGGAAAUAAUCAUUAAAAAUGAUGUGAGUAUAUAUGUGGCAGUUCCUUAGCUCAUUACAGAGGUCCUCAUAAAGUUUUUUGAGAAAAAAAUUUGGGUGCACUAAUGUCCGAGAUCCAUGGGCAUAACACAUGAUAAAUCAAGGAUAUUUUGAUAAUUACUAAAAAAAAAAGUUUGUAAAUGCGAAAAUAGGCUUUAAAAGAUGGUGUGAGUAUACAUGGUGGUUCCCCAACUCAUUACGGAGGUCUUCGUAAAGUUUUUGAGAAAAAUAAUUUGGGUGCUCUGGGAUGCCUAAUCCAUAGGCUUACUCACGAAAAAUCAAGGAUUUUGAGUAAUUCCUAAAAAAGGACAUGUAAUUGAUGAAAUAGGCAUUAAAAAAUGAUGUGAGUAUACAUAGUGGUUCCCCAACUUACUACAGAGGAAAAAUUUGGGUGUUUCAAGGCGCCAGAUUCAUGGGCUAUAACACACGAUAAAUCGAAGAAUUUGGAAAUUUCUAAAAAGGAGCCUGUAAAUGCGAAAAUAGGCGUUUAAAAAAAAGUGUGAGUAUACGUGGUGGUUUCCCAACUCAUUACGGAGGUCAUCAUAAAGUUUUUUGAGAAAUUAUUUUUGAGUAAUCCAAGGCGCCUGAUCCAUGAGCUAUAUAACACACACUAAAAUCAAGAAUUUUGGAUAAUUUCUAAAAAAAGGGCCCUUAAAUACAGAAAUAGGCGUUAAAAAAUUUAUCCAAGUAUAUUUGGUGGUUCCCCAACUCAUUAUGGAGGUCCUCAUAAAGUUUGUUGAGAAAAAAAAUUUGGCUGCUCCGGGGUACCCGAUCCUUGGGCUAUACACACGAAAAAUUCAAAAUUUUGGAUAAUCUUAAAAAACGGCCUGCAAAUGAAAAAAAUAUGUGUUAAAAUAGUGUGAGUAUACGUGGUGGCUCCCCAACUCAUUUUGGAGGUCCUCAUAAAAGUUUUUUGAGAAACAAAUUUGGGUGCUCCGGGGUGCUAGAUUCAUGGGCUAGAACAUACGAAAAAUUGAGGAUUUUGGGUAGGUCCUAAAAAGGGGCCUUUAAAUUCAGAAAUAGGCAUUAAAAACGGUGUGAGUAUAUAUGGUGGUACCCCAACUCAUAACAAAGGUCCUCAAAAAGUUUUUAGAAAAACAAUUUUGGGUGCUCUGAGGUGUCAAAUGUAUGGGCUAUAUAACACACAAAAAAUUAAGAAUUUUGGUUAAUUUCUUAAAAAGGGCAUGUAAAUGCAGAAAUAGGCUUUAAAAAAUGGUGUGAGUAUACGUGGUGGUUCCCCAAAUAAUUAUGGAGGUCCUCAUAAAGUUUUUUGAAAUAUUUUUUGGGUGGUCCAGGGUGGUAGAUCCAUGGGUUAUAACACACAAAAAAUUGAGGAUUUUAGUAAUUCCUAAAAAAGAUCUUGUAAAUGCGGAAAUAUGUGUUAAAAAUUGUGUGAGUAUACAAUGUUGUUCCCCAACUCAUUACGGAGGUCCAUAUAAACUUUUAUGAGAUAAAAAGUUUGGUUGCUCUAGGGUGCCAGAUCUAUUGGCUAUAACACACGAAAAAUUAAGAAUUUUGGAUAAUUCCUAAAAAAGGGCCUGUAAAUGUGGAAACAUGCCUUAAAAAUGGUGUGUGUACACGUGAUGGUUCUCUAACUCUACAGAGGUCCUGAUCAAGUUUUUUGAGAAAAUUUUUUGGGUGCUGCGGGGCGUCAUAUCCAUGGGCUAUAAUGAAAAAUAGAGAAUCUAGGUACUUCUAAAAAGGUGACUGUAAAUGCAAAAAUAGGCGUUAACAAAAUGGUGUGAGUAUACGUGGUUGUUCCCAACUCAUUACGGAGGUCCUCAUAAAGUUUUUCGAGAAAAACAUUUUGGGUGCUCCGGGGUGCCAGAUCCAUGGGCUAUAACACACGAAAAAUUGAGGAUUUUGGGUAAUUCGUAAAAAAUGUCCUGUAAAUACGGAGAUAAGUGUUAAAAAACUGAUGCGAGUAUAUGCGGUGGUUCCCCAACUCAUUACGUAGGUCCUCACAAAUUUUCUUGAGAAAAAAAUUUAGGUGUUUCGAGGCACCAGAUCCAUGGAGUAUAAGACAUGAAAAAUCGAGAAAUUUGGGUAAUUCCUAAGAAAGGGACUGUAAAUGCGGUAAUAAGCAUUAAAAAUGGUGUGAUUUUAAGUUGUGGUUCCCUAAAUCAUUAUGGAGGUGCUUAUAAAGUUUUUUGAUAAAAAAAUUUGGGUGCUCUGGGGCACCAGAUCCAUGGGUUAUAACACACAAAAAAUCUAGUAUUUUGGGUAGUUUCUAAAAAGGGCCUCUAAGUGCGGAAAUAGGCGUCAAAAAAUGGUGUGACUAUAUGUGGUGGUUCUCCAACUCAUUACGGAGGGUGCUACGAGGUACCAGAUCUAUUGGCUAUAAUACACGAAAAAUCGAGAAUUUUGGGUAAUUCCUAAAAAAAGAUCUUUAAAUGAGAAAAUAGGUAUUAACAAAUGGUAUGAGUAUAUGUGGUAGUCCCCCAACUUAUGACGGAGGUCUUCAUAAUGUUUCUGGAGAAAAAAAAAUUGGCUGCUCUGGGACGCAAGAUCCAUAGGCACGAAAAAAUGAGUAUUUUGGGUAAUUCACAAAAAAAGGCCUGUAAAUGUAGAAAUAGGCGUUAAAAAAUGGUGUGAGUAUACGUGGUGUUUCCGCAACUCAUUAAGGAGUUCCUCAUAAAGGGAUUUUAGAAAAACGUUUUGGGUGCUCCGGGGUGCCAGACCAUAGGCAAUUUACACACGAAAAAAUGAAGAUUUUGGGUAAUUCCUAAAAAAGGACUUGUAAAUACGAAAAUAAUCAUUAUAAUAACUGUGUGAGUAUACGUGGUAGUCCCCAACUCAUUACGGAGGUUCUCAUAAAUUUAUUUGAGGAAAAUAUUUUGGGUGCUUCAGUGUGCCAGAUCCAUGGACUAUACACAAGAAAAAUCAAGGAUUUUGGGUAAUUCUUCAAAAAAGGUCCUGUAAAAAGAAGAAAUGGGCAUUAAAAAUGAAGUGACUAUACGUGGUGGUUCCCCAACUUAUUAUGGUGGUCCUCAAAAAGAAUUUUGAGAAAAAAAAUUGGGUGCUCCAGAAUGCCAGAUCCAUAGUCUAAACACACAAAAAUUGAGGAUUUUAGGUAAUUUCUAAAAAAGGGUCUGUAAAUUCGAAAAUAGGUGUUAAAAAUUGUGUGAAUAUACAUGGUGGUUCCCUAACUCAUUACGGAAGUCCUCAUAAGAUUUUUGAGGAAAAAGAUUUGGGUGCUUCGGAACGCCAGAUCCAUAAGCUAUUACACACAAAAAAUCGAGGAUUAUGGGUAAUUCCUAAAAAAAAGUGCCUGUAAAUGUGGAAAUAGGCGUUAAAAAUGGUUUAUUAUUUGUGGUGGUUCCUAACUCAUUACGGAUAUUCUCAUAAGUUUUCUUUAGACAAUAAUUUGGGUGCUCCGGAGUGCCAGAUUUAUGGGAUAUAUCACAUGAAAAAUUGAGGAUUUUGAGUAAUUACUAAAAAGGGCCUGUAAAUGUAGAAAAAAGCGUUAAAAAUCAUGUGAGUAUACGUGGGUGUUCCCCAACUCAUUACGAAGGUCAUCAUUAAAUUUUUUGAGAAAUAAAAUUUGGGUGCUCUAAGCGCUAGAUCCAUGGGCUAUAACACACGAAAAAUCGAGAAAUUUUUGUAAUUCCUAAAAAAGGGACUGUAAAUGCGGAAAUUGACGUUAAAAAUGGUGUGAGUAUAAUUGGUUGUUCCCUAACUCAUUACGGAGGUCCACAUAAAAGUUUUUGAAUUUUUUUUUGGGUGCUCUGGGGUGCCAGAUAAAUGGGCUAUAACACCAAAAAAAUCGAGGAUUUUGUGUUAUUCCCAAAAAAGGACAUGUAAAUGCGAAAAUAGGCGUUAACAAUGGUGUGAUAUAUGUGGUGAUUCCCAAAUCAUUACAGAGGUCCUCAUAAAGUUUUUGAGAAAAAUAAUUGGGUGCUCCGGAGCACCAGAACCAUGGGCUAUAACAUACGAAAAAUCGAGAAAUUUGGGUAAUUCGUUAAAAAGGUGUGUAAAUAAAGAAAUAUGCGUUAAAAAUGGUGCAAGUAUAAGUGGUUGUUCCCCAACUCAUCAUGGAGGUCAUUAUAAUGAUUUUUGAGAAAACAAAUGUGUGCUCUUGGGCGCGAGAUCCAUGGUCUAUAACACACGAAAAAUCGAGGAUUUUGGGUAAUUCCUAAAAAGGGCCUGUAAAUGCUGAAACAGGUGUUAAACAAAUGGUGUGAGAAUACGUGGUGGUUCCCCAACUCAUAACGGAGGUCCUCAUAAAUUUUAUUGAGAAAAAAAUUUGGGUGCACUAGAUGCUAGAUCCAUGGGCAAUUAAUACACGAAAAAUUGAGUAAUUUCAGAAAUUCCUAAAAAAAUUUGGGUGCACUAGAUGCUAGAUCCAUGCCCUGAGAGUCCUUGCCUCGAACCAGAUAUCAAACUAAUGAGCUUGAAAAUUAACACUACAGAACCAGAUAUAAAUUUACCCCCAGACACACUAAUUGGGUCAUUCGCAGAUAUGUAAGAUCCAAAUAACCGAGUAGCACUCUGCAUCAAUUCAAAAUGUUACCAAUCAAUUUACAAGGUUGAUAAUCUAGUCAGGAAGUAAAAGAUGGCAAGAACGCAAAGGCUUGAAAAUGGAUAAUAUUUAUUCCUUCCACAAAACAUUUAGUAUUAUAUAUAUCAAGGUACACUAUAGUAUUCGGGUAGUUAAAGUGGUUCCUCAAUGUACACAAAUAAACAAAAAAAUACCUAUACAAAAUGAGCUUGAAAAUUACAUGUUUAAAAAUACCUAUACUAAACCAAUUGCCUCAUAAUGAAAAGAAGUAACUGUGAUAAGAUAGAGGGGAAUUAAUUUAACCUGUGAUCGAAAAAGAAAACUGGAUCAAAUAGUUCAUGAGGGACAUUUCUCACUUCGCCUCUUAUCUUUCAAUCACACUGAAGAUAGAAACGUAGGACAGGGGAAAGGUACUUUCAAUCGUUGAAUCCGUACCACUCGCAAUAUUUCAGAAAGAGAGAAAGAGACUCGUUGCGGAGAAGGGGAAGGGGAUAUGGGCACACACAUUACCAUCACUAACAUGAAUUUCAUGAUGAAAAUAUGAUUUAGUCUUUAUGUGAUAACAACUAGGAAAAACUGACAAUUCCACCAUACCCUUCUGUCCCAGAGUUUCUGCCACCAUUCCUGAGAUGGACUUUCUUCGCCCACCCAACAUGUACUCAUCUCAAAAAUUCGUAAAGACCAUUUCACCCCUUGGAGGUAUUUUCUAGUGCAUCAUGGACAUACCAUACUGAACAGUCCCUACUUCCCUAGGAGCUGCACCAUCAGUAGCUGCUACCGCCACAGCUACAAUUCCACCAUAUUGAGAUUUCGCCUGCAAUAAGUUUAUGUCUAUGGUGAUUCGGUCAUCAACACGAUCUGGUUUUGUAACUCCAGCUCGCGUCAUAUAGAAUGGAUUGCUAUCAAUAUUUAUAGCAAUAUUUGGGGCUAACAUAGCAGCCAUUCCACAUGGUGCCAUUGGCUUUGAAUGAGAAUUCAUGCCCCUCUCUGUUUCAACAGACCUUUCUUGCUUCACCACCCCACUUCUGUCACAGCUAUACACUGAAGACAUAAUCUGAGGGGGGCCUACUGCAUUCCUGACUUGAGGCCUUGGAUCAUAUUUUUUCCCGAAUCAUAAGCCAAACCUGGACUAAUAUACUACUAUGCUAUCUAGGUGAUUGUAUAUGUUUAGAUCUCUACUUCCUUUGACGGAAAUGUGUAUUAUGUUUUGGAUUCCUUAAUUCCAACACAUUGUCUUGUGCCAAAUGAAGGCUAGAGGAAAUGGUAUCAUUAUACUUUUUAAUCAUUAAAAAACACUUAACUCAAACAUAAUUUUUAAACCCUCAAAUCACUUCACUUGAUUUUCUCAAACUGAUUUUUACCCAGUAUCUUCGAUCAUUUUUCAUGAAAUUCCAAGAAAGAAAAACCCCCAAAAAAUAAAUCACAAAACCCACCUACAUUUUCCUCCUUCCAUACACAAAUUUAUGCAAGAAACCCAUAACCAAUAUACGAAAGAGUAAAUCAUCCAACCAGUAAUAAAAAAAACACAAAGAAAAAGAAAACCCAGUACUCUAAUUACCUUUCUACAGCAAAAAAGUACACAUUAUCAAGCCAUUUAUACAAACAGAGAACAAAAACUGAGAAACACUCACGAGUUUGGAGGAAUGAGAAGUCGAGUUACGAGUAGAGACAGUUAUAUGAUUCGAGAUAUUAGAAAGCGCCGGCCGGUUCUUGGUGGCUUCAGCAUUUAAUUUUCCGAUGUGAUUAUUCUCCAACCCCGAUGAAUUCGCCACCAUUGCUUGUCCCUUCGCCGCCGCACUCAAAAAAGAAGAAGAGGAUCGUCGCUAUUUUCUCCUUCUAAGAAUUUGUCAUCACCCUGUUCUUCAAGAAAAUGAAGAAGAAGAAUGUGAAGUUUCUACGACCGUUAGGGGUCACUUGAGACAAUUAAACGAAAGGUGUCAAUUAAGUUUUGCUUUGGUUUUUGGUGACAUUUUGAUCGGGUCAAAUUCAAUUUAAAAUGUAACUAAGUAAAUUUGGGACAAAAUUAACAUUUUCAAAAUUUUCUAAUCUUUUAUAAAAUACAAAAAAAACACUUCAUUUUUCAAUUUUUAUAAUUCUAUCCAAACCAUUUUUAAAAAAAAGUAAAAGAAAAUAGAACUUUCUCUUCUUUUUUUUCCAACGUUCUCUCUUCUCUUCUUCUUCCUUAGAAAAUCUGAAAAUCCGACUAUCAAAACAAGUAUUCUCCCCUAUUAUCUUAUCUUCCUCCUCAUCUCCGGCCGUGACUCUCUCCUCUUUGUGAACUGAAGAUUGUGUUCGACUUAAAAUGGGUAAGUUAUUUUUUUGUAAGAUUUUACAAUUUUUGAACAAUACUAAGUUUUUUUCUUGGGUUAAUGAACAAUAAAUCGUUCUAUAAAUGUGAAAAUUGAAUAAUGGUGUAAUGGUACCUAUUAUUUAUUGUUUUUGAAAGAAAAUCAAUAAACCCAAAAAGCCCUAAUUUUAAGGAAAUGUAUAUGUAUUGUUAACAUUCAGUGAAAAUUCAUUUUUUGUUGCUUUUGUUGUUCUUUUUGUGACCAUUUUGUUCAUAUGAUUUUAGAAAUAUAGUCUUGUUCAAUUGUCCAACAUAUAUUUCAUUUGUUGAAAGAUGUGUCGUAUGUUGCUACAUUUUAGUGAUAUGUUGGUAUAUAUUCCAACAAAGUUGUCAUAUGUUGAAACAUAUCACCUAUGUGUUUGGGCAACAAAAUGAUCAUCUGUAGUAACAGAAGAUUAAUUUGUGGCACAUGAAGAUUCAUCUAUGGCAACAGAAGGUUCAUAUGUGGCAACAGAAUAUCCAUUUGUGUCAACAUAAGUAUAAAUUAUUCCCAUUAUUAUUUUAUAAUCAAUUGUAAACUUUCAACCUUUUUUUAUUUACCUUGUAGAUGAAAUGAUACAAGAAGCUUCAUCCAUGACAAUAGCUCAAUCUUUUAUUGGUGUUGCUUCCUCUUCUAACUUCAAAUGCUCUUUUUGUCUAUGUGAAGAAUGUGAGCAGCAACAUGAUUAUUUUAUUAGUCGUGUUAAAAAACUCACUGAUAUUUUUAAGGAAAUGACUUAUAAUAUUGAUGUCCAUACAUCCAAGAAGAUUUCACAGCCUUUGAAGUGUACGAGGAUGAAAAAAUCUAUUUCCCAAUCACUAUCUAUAAUUAGUGAAAGAAAAAAUCAAUGACUACUGCUCCAGUAUCACACUCAAACCCAAAAGGCAAGGAGAAGGAGAAGGAGAAGGAGAAGGAGAAGGAGGAGAAGGAGAAGGAUCAGGAGAAGGAGGAGGAGGAGGAGAAGGAGAAGGAGAAGGAUCAAGAGAAGGAGAAAGAGAAGGAGAAAGUGAAAAAGAAAGUGAAUGAGAAAGUGAAAAAGAAAGCGAAAGAGAAAGAGAAAAAGAAAGAAAAGAAAGUCGAAGUUGUCAGUUGUGAUGUGAAGCAACAAUAUCCAUUUGAAGGUUUUAACAUUGACGGAAAGGGUCCAAGUGAACUAAUUUCAUCCUUCUCGCAAUGAAUAAACAACGGUCUUUACAAGCAUCAUGCAAAAAAGCAAAGUCAUUCAACUAUUUUUUAUUAUUUCUUCUUGUUGUCCACUAAAUAAUUAUUUAUAAUGAUUACACAAUUGCAGAAGAGACAAGGACGAUCACUACUUAGCCAAUUGCUCGAAUCUUGAGUUCAAACAACUUAAUUUUGUAGUUGCAUUUCCAAAGAACAAAGACUGGUUCUACAUAAUGUCUCAACCCAAUAAGUGCUGGACUGAUGAGGUAAAUCGAUGGCCACUCUUAUUUUUUGAUUAAGACAUGAACACAUACAAAUAAAUUGAUACAUAAAUACACUUGUUGAUGCAUCUGUGCAGUAUGUGGAUGUCAUUUUAUACUAUUUGCGGAAGAAGUCGAAGCAACAGAGUCAUUCUAAAUAUCGAUAUAGCAUUACUAAUUGUUUUCUCAAAAAUACAUUGAUAAUGCCAGUGUUGUUCCUGAAUAUGAGAAUAAAAUCGUUGGCACUAUCAAAGGGUUUGGUAUACCUGUUGGACUGCCUUAUCACCUAACAGAUGAGGUUUACAUCCCUAUAAAUUGUAAUUGGGAGUUUCAUUGGGUCUUGGCAAUCGUUGUAUUGAAGGAACGGCACAUAGAGGUGUAUGAUUCGAUGUCCACAUCUAGUACUACAGAAAAUUGUGUGCCGAGAUUCAAAAGUUGUCUACAAUGUUGCCAAAGUACCUUGAAUCCAGCAAAUUUUUUGAGCAAAAAGACUGAACCAACUGGUCAAUUCUUGAAUCUUACCAGGGCAAGAACAAAUCUCACCCGGGCAAGAACAAAUCUCACCCAUUCGAAGUCAUACAUGUUAGUGGUAUUGCCCAACAAGCAAGCAAUAGUCAGUAAGUAGUAUCACAUUAUUUUUUUAGUCUUACCACUAUCGAAAUGUGAUGUUAAUAUUAGGUUUAUUAUAUUUUCUAAUUGAUGAUAUACCAUGAAGUGAUUGUGAAGUUUUUGUUGCUGCAUACACUGAGUUUUUGAGUGAUGGACUACAAAUACCAUCUGAUGGAAUUAUUUCUCAAUUCCUUCGCUUGAGAUAUGCUUCACUCUUAUGGAAUUAUGGGAUUUUAAAGGCUCGGAGUGGCUAUGUUAGUAACAAUGAAGACCCACAGAGGUUUAGACCUAAAAAAGCAAAGUUCAUAGAUGAAAAUGUUGUGGUUACCACCAUUGAUUAGAUUGAUGGUUAUGUAUACCAUUGUGAAUUAUCUUUUUGUUGAUAAGUUGUAUAAAACAAUUGGUGAAGUGUUCAUUUUUGCUGAUAAUAUUAAUAUUAAUGAUUAUUAAUAUUAUUUUUAUUUUGUUGGAACAAAUGUCAAUUAUGAUGGAAAGGAAGAAAUGUGGUGUCUGUGGCAAUAUAUAUAACCUCUGUUGUAAAAAAUACCACAGAAUUAUCUGCAUGUUCCCCAACAGAAAGGAUAUAUGUGGCAACAUAUGUCACAGAAAGAAGAUAUGUGGUAACAUAUGUCAUAGAAUGGAGAUAUGCGGCAACAUUAUAUUGUCAUCAAUUAUUCAUUUUUGCUGAUAAUAUUAAUAUUAAUGAUUAUUAAUAUUAUUUUUAUUUUGUUGGAACAAAUGUCAAUUAUGAUGGAAAAGGAAGAAAUGUGGUGUUUGUGGCAACAUAUAUAACCUAUGUUGUUAAAAAUACAACAGAAUUAUUUGUAUGUGCCCUAACAGAAAGGGUAUAUGUGGCAACAUAUGUCACACUUUGAAUUGUCAAAAUUCAAAAAAAAUCGAAAAGGUUUAAAACAACCGUCCCUUCAUUUUUCCCUCUCUCCUCUCCUAUAUGAAAGGUCGUUUCAUAUUCCAAAUUUAAUUUAUUUUUACUAAUUUCCGUUUUCUUGUCUCUUCUUUCCUUCCUUUCUCUCGUUCCAUUAUUCCUUCACAGAUCAAGGUUGUUGUUGCGAUAUUUUCUACAACAUCAGUGGUAAUCUGUUGCAAUCCUCUUCUACAACAAGGCGUUGUUGCCCUCAUCAUUUCUAGUUUAUCCUUGAUAUCAGGUAAAAUUUAAUUAGGGUUUUGAGAAAUACUUACUGGUAUUAAAUCAGGACAUUUUUAGUGGUUUUAUGACUUAUUUGUUUGUAGGAUUGUUGGAUAGUUAUUCCUUUUGAAAUAUUACUCCCCUCCGUUUUCACAAAGAAUGACCUGGUUUGACUUGGCACGGAGUUUAAGUAAAUAAAGAAGACUUUUGAAUCUUAUGGUCCUAAAUUAAAGUUAUGUCAAAUGUACAAAAUUUCCCUUUAAUCUUGUGGUCUUAAACAUGCCACGUGGAAAGCAGAAAGUAAAAUGUUACCAAAAAAGGAAAGAGGUCAUUUUUUUUUAAACUGACUAAAAAGGAAAGGAGGUCAUUCUUUGUGAAACGGAGGGAGUAUUUUAUUUCAAAAACCUUAAUUUGUAGUUCAUUGGUUAGGGUUUAGGGAGGAUUUUGUGGUUUGUUAGUUGGUUCAUGUGUGGUAUUGAAUCGUAUUUGUUGUUUGUGUUGUUGUGUUUGGUUGUUGUUAUUUUUGUUAAGAAAUAUUUGAGUUUUGUGAAUGCAGAUACAAAUAUAAUGGCUCUUGUCAAAAGAAAAAUUGUAUUAACAAAAAAAACAACUGAUACAAAGAUCCAGAAGAGGCCUAGGACUAGAACUUGUAGGAAGAAGAAUGAAAAUUCAACUACCACUAUUUUAGAAGAACUAGCAUCUAAAGAGGCCUAGGACUAGAACUUGUAGGAAGAAGAAUGAAAAUUCGACUACCACUCUUUUAGAAGAACUAGCAUCUGAAGUAGUUUCUUCUUCUCAAGUAGAAGCAAAAUUUUCUCAAGAAUAUGAAGAAAGAGAAAAAGAAAAAAAUGAAGUAGGUGAUGAUGGAGAAAGAGCGGAAGAAGAUGAGGAAGAAGAGGGAAAUAAAAAGAAGUUGAGGAAGAUAAAGGAAAACAAAAAGAAGUUGAGGAAGAAGAAGGAAAAAAUAAAGAAGUAGUUGAGGAGGAAGAAGAACAAAUAAAUGAAGUUGAGGAAGAAGAACAAGAAAAAAAUGAAGUUGAGGAUGAUGGGAUCAAAACUAUCAAUGCACACACUUUUUCUGUGCAUUUGCAGCCUAAUGCUACUGGUGAUAGCAUUAUGAGGUCAGCAAUGGAAAAACCUUUCGACACCUUCAAGAUCACCCUCAAGCAGAAUGGUUUGGAAGAUUUUUUUCGGAAUAGUUAUUUUGGUCAUUUUCUUGAUUUGCCAGAGAAUAAUACUGCAAGUUUUCAAAUGACCAUGGUCUAUGAACUUCUGAAAAGAAGGCUCAUUUUUCAGAAUCCUGAAAAGAAUGAUGAGGUUUUGAUUAAUUAUUGUGGCAUGCCACUCUUCUUUGGCAGAAGAGAGUUUGCCAUAGUUUCAGGGUUAAAAUGCCAUCCUCCUUCUGAGCCAGUCCCUGAAUUCAUAGUCAAAAAAGAACCACGGAGACGAAAGAAAGGAGGAAAAAAAGAAACAAGACAGUCAACUGAGGAACAUGACUUGAUGUCCCUUGUUGGCACAAGUUUCAAAAAUUCCGAUUUAAUAUAUUUGUUAAAUGUCGAGGAUAUACCAAGGAAGCACAGGGAGUCAUUGUGCUUACUUUGGUUUGUACAUAAUGUACUUUUGGCCAAAGAUCUCAACAACAACAUAUCACUUAAAUGGGUAAAUUUAUCUCAGGAUAUUGAGGCUUUCAGCAACUAUCCUUGGGGUCAUGAGAGCUUUGAAUUAACUGUCAGAUACUUGUUGAAACCUUUAGGACCAAACACCAAUAACUUAUUUGGCUUUCCAUGGGAUUUCAUGGUAAACAUAAAUGUUCUUAAUCUUUUUAUAUUAUAUUGAAUAAUUCAAUAUUUGAUUAGUGACAUGUUUUCCUUUUUUAUAGUCUUGGGCAUUUGAAGUCAUUCCUCAUUUGACCCAUCAAGUAAAUGUAGAAGAAGAGAUCUCAUCUCCAAGGAUACUGAGAUGGUUAAGAUCAAAAACAAAAAUUGCCAAAAAUAUUCCAGAUCUUUAUAACCCUCCUCAUGAUGCAGUAAGUUAUUAUUAUAUUACACUCAUAUAUGUAGCAACAUGUGACCCAAAUGUUGCUACAGAUGAAUCAUAUGUUACUACAUAUGAUCCUUCUAUCGCAACAUUUGAUACAAAUGUUGUUACAGAUGACUCAUAUGUUGCUACAGAUGACCCCUUUGUUGCAACAUAUGACAUAAAUGUUGCUACAGAUGCCCAUAUGUGUCAACAUAUCACCCAUCUGUAGCGACAUAUGACACGUAUGUGGCAACAUCUGACCCAAAUAUUCCUACGGAUGACUCUUAUUUAUAAUUUUAGGUUGUGCAUCCAUGGCUUGUCCCAAUAGAAAAGGAAUUGCAAAUGCAAUAUCUAAUUACUCUGGGGUUGAUUGAAACCUUAUUUGAUCUUAUUAUGGAUAGAGUUAAAAUGGAAUUGGCUGGAGCAAGAACCAUAAAAAGAGACAGAGUUGUUAAUGAAUUAGUUGUUUUUUAUAGGGGUAAUGGUCGUGGUAUUGAUGUUGGUGUUGGUGCUAUUGCUGGUGCUGGUGCUGGACAAAACCAAAGGGCUACCUCUUGUAGAAGAUGCUCUGGCUUUCUCUGUGAGAAGUGCAAGAAACAAGAUGAAGAUUUUAUCAUGUAUCUUCAAACAUUGAAUCAGGCUGUCAAUGAAUUUAAAAACAAGACGGGGGUCAAGGUCAUUCCAUCAAAGAAUGUUCGGCAUCCAUAUACUCCACAGGCCAAGAGGAGGAAAAAAUCCUUUAUCAAGGCAAUACAAAAUUUGAAGAAUAAGAUCUUUGGAGAAUUGCCAAUGGUCGUAGGAGAGGAAGUGUUGGAGUUCAAGCAUGUGAAUGUUUAUAAGCGUGUGACUAUAGUUGAAAAGAACAAACUAGUGGACCUGGCGACAGCAAAGGAUCUGCGUGCAAAUACGGCAUGCAUUGUUUUCGUGGAGAAGAUUUCAGGAUCACGACAAGCAUGGACAUUUGGUGGGAAGACUGAGUAAUGUUUCUCUUCUAGUACCUUCAAUUUAUAAUGUUAGUUUCUUUUAUCUUUUCAAUGAUUACUCUUCUUUACUCUUUCAUAUUAUUUUUUAUUUCAGUAUGUUGAUGAAAUCCUUAGCCUCAUGUGGGAGAGGCAUGUGAGAUACCCUGAGUACUAUGAUUCCACAGAUAGUAUCCUGGAUCUCAACUUCUAUUCCAACUUCAAACUAAGAUAUGACGAAAUGAGCGAGGAGGCAACAACAGUUAGUGGUAGAAGCUUUACGCAGUUAAUUAAUGAGUUUGAAUGGGAUGAAGAUAUGAUUAACUAUGUCAGGGGAAUUAGACCAUAUCCUGGAGGCAUGGAAUGGAUUGGAUUGGUGCAAAAAGGCUUUUGGCAGUCACGAACAUUAAAAAAACUCAUUUUGUGACUUUUGAGAUCCUCUUGCAUGAGGAUCGCAUGAAUGUAUAUGACUAUCUGCUGAUGAGUAUGGAACAUGCCAAGUUUUUGACAUUCAUACAACCUGUCUUCGAGUUGCUGCCAAAACUGUUAAAGCAAAGUGGAAUAAUGAAGCAUUUGCCAAAUAAAUUCCUCAAUGAACCAUGGGAAUGUAAAGGUCGAUUGGAACCCAUGUUAACAAAUGAUAGCAAAGCCGCGUGCGCGUCAUAUUCGCUUGCAUUUAUUGAGCAUUUGAUUACCAGGACAGCAAUUCAACCUCCCAAAACCAUGUUGUGUGAUAAUGCAGUUCGUUGAAUACAAUAGGUUUAGGCUGCUAGGAUAGUAUCUAGGAGCUUGGAACCUUGAUAAUGUGUUUGUAAUUAAAGACAAUGUUUUAUUUUAUCACUUAUGUUAUUUUGUCUUAUAUUGAGAGCAAGUACAUAGUAUGUGAUGUUAUAUUGAGAGCAAGUACUUAUCAAAUGUUGUUACAUAUGUCUCAUUUGUAACAACAUAUGGGUCCUUUGUAGUGAAAUAUGUCUCAUAUAUAGCAACAUAGGGGUCAUCUGUAGCAACAUAUGUGUCAUAUGUAGCAACAUAUGGGUCAUCUGUAGCAACAUAUGCCUCAAAUGGUCAAACGUUACUACAUAAGGGUGAUAUGUCGCAACAUUUGAGGCAUCUGUAGCAAUAGAUGAGUUAUCUGUAGCAACAUAUGUCUCAUAUGUAGCAACAUUUUGACUCAUAUGUUAUGUUAAGAACAAGUAAAAAUGUUGGAACAUGAGUGCACAACUACGUUUAUUUAUUUUAUUUCCACAACUAUGAUAAUUUUAAUUGUUGUACACAACUACAUAUGAAUUUUCCAUCCUCUACAGUGUUCUUCUAGGUAAUGCUUAAAAAUAGAAAAUAAACCAUAACAAACAACACGAAGAUUAGCCUCCAGUUGUUACAACAUUUGGCCUUCUUCUUCUCCUUCAUCACACAUUUGUUACUUCUUUUAAUAUGAUUUUCAUCAUCGAUUUCUAACUCCUUAAUCAUGUUCACCAAUCUCAGAAUAACAAACUUGGAUCGACUAUCAACAUCUUCACGAUCCCUCCAUCUAAAGAAGUUGCAUGCAUUCUCCUAAAAUACACACCACAAAGAAAUUUAAAUUAAAAAAUAAAAAUAAAGAGAAGUCUCUAGACUAAGGUGUAGAAAUGUACAUACACGAUAGCGUGGACAAGACCAAAAUCUUCGACUUGGAUUGUCCUUCGACCAUGAAGUUUGCAUUAAAAGUAAGUCUCCAUUUUCAACAGAUUUUCACAUCCAACAUGGGAUCAUUUUCAUCAUUACAAAUUCGAUUCAAUAUUGCAUUUGACAUUAUAUCAAAAGUAACAAAAACAAACAAAACUCAUUCAUUAGAUCUAGAUCUAGAGUACUGAUCUAUAUUUAAAGAACUCAGAAAUUCUUACCCAACCACUAUAUUUCAAAAUUAAUGAUUUUAUUGAUUUGACAAUACAUGACAGUGCUGAAUUUGGUUUAAUCAAAGGCCAAUCAAAGUAGUUGUGUGUUAAAAAACAAAGAACAAAAAAGACUAAUGAAAUAAAAAACAUCAUUAUAUCCCAUGCACUCUAGAGAUCCGAGAUCCAUGCGAAGAGAGAGGAGAGAGAGAAAGUGCAAAAAGGAACCGAAGUGACAAGGAAGAAAAUGAAAACCCUAUUUUUGAAAUGAAAAUGAAAACCCUAAUUUAUAUAUAUAUCCCUUCUAGAAAUGAAAUAAUGAGCCGAUUGGGCCAGUUUUAGAGGUUGGGCUUGCCUAUUUUUAAUCGGAUGUCCCUGAAGGGACAAGGACAGGUUGUGCUUGCUUAUGACUUUUAUAAAGUACUUACGUGUUUUAUCCAAAAGAAUGUACAUAUGUUGCCAUAUAUGGCAUUUGAUGGAUGAGUUAAUCGAUAAAUUAAGCAAUUUAGCAAUGAAAAAUGUCAAANNNNNNNNNNNGAAGCGGCGAGGAAGAAAAUGAAAACCCUAAUUUAUAUAUAUAUCCCUUCUAGAAAUGAAAUAAUGGGCCGAUUGGGCCAGUUUUAGAGGUUGGGCUUGCCUAUUUUUAAUCGAAUGUCCCCGAAGGGGCAGGGACAGGUUGGGCUUGCUUACGAAUUUUAUAAAGUACUUACGUUUUUUAAGUUGUUGCAACAUAUGUCAAUUAUGUGUACAUGCAAGUAGUAUCACCAUCAAUAGAGAGGAGUUCAAGCACAUAAACUUGGAAAACAUUAAACAUAAACAUAAACAUGUCAUUGAUAGUUGUUAGUUGAACUAGUGACAUGCAAGGCUAGGCUAGACUACAUAUCCAUAUUUACAAGGCAUUAACGCCAACAAAAACAACAAAAUUUACAUCUGAAAACACUCUAGCCCAUUGAUAGUUGAUAUAGUGACAUGCAAGGCUAGAUUAGGCUACAUAUCCAUAUUUACAAGGCAUUAACGCCAACAAAACAACAAAAUUUACAUCUAAAAAACUCUAGCCCUAUACUUCUACUUCAGCCAGCAAAAAAAGACUUGACUAGAGGAUCUGGAGUCAACAUUGAGCGAUUAAACCUGGAGGGGCAUCACCAUUCUUUCUUGAAGGGUGGUGGAUCAUAGCUACCCAUGCACUCUGUCACAAGACCACCUACAGAAAAACAAACAACCAUAGUUAACUACCCCAUACAUGCCGUUACAGUAGACAUAAUGUUAUAUAUAAAGUAAGAAGACUUACCAAAUGAUGAACCUACCCUCCAUUAGACAAGAUUCGACAAAAACAAACAAUGAACAUCACCCAUGCACUAAGAACACACAUGAAGAAGACAUCAUAUUAACUGAGAACAACAUAAUUACGUUGAUCACCCACAAAAAAAGCAUGCGUAGGCUUAAAUUUGUCCAAGGUGGUAACAUCUUCUCAGGGAAAUUUGAGUGUGAUGAGAGAAGGAGAGGAGAAAGAAUAAAGGAAAGAAAAUAUAAACCANNNNNNNNNNNNNNNNNNNNNNNNNNNNNNNNNNNNNNNNNNNNNNNNNNNNNNNNNNNNNNNNNNNNNNNNNNNNNNNNNNNNNNNNNNNNNNNNNNNNNNNNNNNNNNNNNNNNNNNNNNNNNNNNNNNNNNNNNNNNNNNNNNNNNNNNNNNNNNNNNNNNNNNNNNNNNNNNUUGAAUUAACCCCAAAAAGACCAUUUUAUGAUAUAUAUAUAUAUAUAUAUAUAUAUAUAUAUAUAUAUGUUGCCACAUAUGACAUGUCUGUUAAGAUUUAUCAAACAACGUGCAUAUGUUGCCACAGAUUACACUUCAAGGAUCGGUUAAUCGAUAAAUUGAGCCAUUUAGGAAUGGGAAAAUGUCAAAUUUUAGUACUUUGAACCAUAAUUAAGCAAUAAAAAUACGCUAUAACACUUGGAACAACGAUUUACAAGGGUGUUAAAUAACUAUUAUAUGGAGUUACUUGGUCAUUGAAUGAUGAACUAGACUAGUGGGAUGAUAGUCUUUGUAAAAAUAAUUAAUAGAAUUGAAUGAAGGUUGUUGUAUUAGACCAUAAUUAUGUACUUAGACAUGUUGUAGGACUAUAUAUUAGUGUUACAUGUUGAAUUAGGUGACAAUUUAAUUGAAUUAAAUACAGAUGUUGCCACAUAUGACAUGUCUGUUNNNNNNNNNNNNNNNNNNNNNNNNNNNNNNNNNNNNNNNNNNNNNNNNNNNNNNNNNNNNNNNNNNNNNNNNNNNNNNNNNNNNNNNNNNNNNNNNNNNNNNNNNNNNNNNNNNNNNNNNNNNNNNNNNNNNNNNNNNNNNNNNNNNNNNNNNNNNNNNNNNNNNNNNNNNNNNNNNNNNNNNNNNNNNNNNNNNNNNNNNNNNNNNNNNNNNNNNNNNNNNNNNNNNNNNNNNNNNNNNNNNNNNNNNNNNNNNNNNNNNNNNNNNNNNNNNNNNNNNNNNNNNNNNNNNNNNNNNNNNNNNNNNNNNNNNNNNNNNNNNNNNNNNNNNNNNNNNNNNNNNNNNNNNNNNNNNNNNNNNNNNNNNNNNNNNNNNNNNNNNNNNNNNNNNNNNNNNNNNNNNNNNNNNNNNNNNNNNNNNNNNNNNNNNNNNNNNNNNNNNNNNNNNNNNNNNNNNNNNNNAUUUAAUUGAAUUAACCCCAAAAAGACCCUUUUACGAUAUACACAUAUUGCCAGAUAUUACAUGUUUGUUGCGAUUUAUCAAACAGAACAUGAAUAUGUUGCCACAGAUGACACUUCAAGGAUUGGUUAAUCGAUAAAUUGAGCGAUUUAGGAAUGGAAAAAUGUCAAAAAAAUUUAGAUUAAACAUUUUAUAAAGAACAAAUUCAAAAACAGAACGUGCAUAUGUUGCACACAUGAAAAUUUAAUUAAUACACAAAUUUAACUACUUCAUCUAUUUCUAAAUCACACCUACAUAAUUCACAACGAAAGUGGAGGCUUUGAACAGUGCAACGAAUUGGUUUGUUUCCCAACAAAUGAGGUUCUGGCACCCAUCUAUAUAAAGUAUAUCACAACUUCUCUUGACAUCUUCUGAGUUUUAGUGGAGUCAUGUUGGCAAUGAACAUUAAGCCUUCUCUCAUGGAUUCACCGCCAUUGAAGAUUGAAAUUAUGGCAAGCACAUAGGAUGCACCAAUGUAGCCACCGUAUGCUGCUUGACUAAGAAUUCCCAAUCCAUUUGAAUCGCUACGUUUGAAAAAAUCAUACUACAGAAAAAAUAACACAUUUAAAAUGCAAAAUACAUUGAUAAAAACGUGAAUACAUUCGAAAAACAUUAAAAAUUACCACGCCUUUUUUGUAUAAGGCUUCUAAAAUUCCCUGAUGCUCUGCACAUUUCCAGGAAAGAAGUGCAUCUUCGAACAACUGAACACGGCCAUAUAAAUGCAGGAAUGCUGAGUAAUAUUACCUUCUGAUAUAUCGAAGGUUCAUUAGUGACUUGAUUGAGGACACGGGAACUAAGAAAUCGAAUCAAAUGGUUAGGAAAUCAAAUUAAAGAGCGAAAAUUGUUUAAUACAUACAUACCUUAAUUUAACCCUCAUUAAAUUUUUGAGGGAGUAGGAAGCAACCCUUUCAACGAUAUCAAUUAGUAGUUCCCUCGGAAGGGAUUCAAUGUAGUUUUAUUUACUCAUAGUCAUUUUUGAAGAUUUCUUAUUCUUCAUUUCCAUCUUGGAGAAAAUUAAAUGAAAGGACCUUCUAUUGUUGUGUUCUUCUUAUAUAAUAUAAUCCCAAUGUAAUGAAUGUGAAAAGUUGCAACUUCUGAAGACAAAGAAGCACUUUUGACUUUUCAAAUGCAAGUACUUAAUUUUUUUGAAAAAAGGGUAAAACAUGAAGAGUUGUAAUUAAUGAAGGAGGUUUUUAUAUUAGACCGUAAUUCAAUUGAAUUAGCCCCAAAAAACACAUUUUAGGAUAUUCACAUGUUGCCACAUAUGAUAUAUUUGUUGAAGUUUAAACUGUUAAAUACAACAUUUUAUACCACAGAACGUACAUAUGUUGCCACAUAUGACAUUUCAAGGAUGGUCAAAAUGAGAACACUACGGGAAAAAAAAUAUCNNNNNNNNNNNNNNNNNNNNNNNNNNNNNNNNNNNNNNNNNNNNNNNNNNNNNNNNNNNNNNNNNNNNNNNNNNNNNNNNNNNNNNNNNNNNNNNNNNNNNNNNNNNNNNNNNNNNNNNNNNNNNNNNNNNNNNNNNNNNNNNNNNNNNNNNNNNNNNNNNNNNNNNNNNNNNNNNNNNCACAGUGGUAUAAGGCAGAAAUUUAAUUACAUAAUCUAGUUCUAAAUCACAACUACAUAAAUCACAACGAAUAUCAUCUUCAUUGUCGCUUCCCAUGGGCCAACCAUUCCUGCGUCUGAUUUGCUCAAAUUGAUGAACAGUGCAACAAAUGGGUUUUCCUCCCAACAAAUGAGGUUCUGGCACCCACAUUCUACCUAAAAUAUUUCGCAAAUUAUGUCGACAUCUUCUGACUUUUAGUGGCACCAUUCUUUUCAUGUUGGCAAUGAACAUUAAACCUUCUCUCAUGGAUUCACUGCCAUUGAAGAUUGAAAUUAUGGCAAGCACAUAGGAUGCACCAAUGUGGCCACCGUUUGCUGCUUGACUAAUCAUUCCCUGAUGCUCUACACAUUUCCAGGAAAGAAAUGGCUUCUUGAACUAUCGACCAUCUACGAUAAGGAAUGUUGAUCAAUGUUACCUUUUAAUAUACAGAAGGUUCAUUAGCGACUUGAUUGAGGACACUGGAACUGAGAAAUCAAAUUAAAGAGCGAAAAUUGUUUAAUAUAUACAUACCUUAAUUUAACCCUCAUUAAAUCAUUGAGGGAGUAGGAAGUAAGACUGGGCGCCGGACCGGAACGGAAUCACCGGAUCGGAAUGAACCAGUACCGAAUCAAAAUUACCAGUACAGAUACACGGUUCCGUCCCGUCCCACUAUAUACCGGGAUGGAACCGGAACGGACCGGAAUGGAACGGGAUGGGAUAAACGGAACGACACAUCUAGCUAUUUCAAAAAAUGAUUAAAUUUUUUUUAGUUAUUUUAAUUUUUUGAAAUACAAAAAUAUUAAUGUUUUUUUAUUUUUCUAAGUUUUAAAUUAAUAGUUUUGAAAUUUAUAAUGUAGUUUUACUUAAGUUUAUUUUAAAGAUAUUUUUUUAAAUAUUUACUUAUUAAGUUUGCAAGUUAAGUUUAAUACAGAUUUCGUGAUAUCUACUACCAUCACUUACCCACCUUUUUAUCUCUUGAUUCUAUGGUUAAUUACCACGGACACAAAUUAAAAAAUAUCAAUCCAAUAUUCCAAUUUUUUUAAAUAUGUAGUAGAAAUUAUAAUUUACAACUAUUAGUAGAGUGCAUAGUUUACGCAGCCACCUUCUAGGAAGGGUUCUGUUUCAACUAAGCCUCGAAUUUAAUACUAAUAGUUGUAUAGUCCCGUAAAUCCUUUCUCUAACUCAACUAUAGAUUGACUGUAAUCAACCCCGUAAAUCCUUUCUCUAACUCAGCUAUAGAUUGACCGUAAUCAACUACUGGUCUUGGUAAAGCUCGUUGACGAUCUUGAAGUUCCAUGCCAUCGUCACUACCACAUCCAAUGGCUGAAUCUAUGAAAAGUUCAAAUUGACUAUCCAACUUUGGAAGUCCUUGAUUUCUCCGCUCAGCAUUUAUCCAAUCUCUAAACAACACCGAUAUCUCCAAACUGUCUUCUGCUAACGAAUAUUUGUGGUCUUCGAUUUGAAAUCUUGUCGCGCUGAAAGCUACCUCCGAGGUUACUGAUGAUCCUUGAAUUGCAAGCACAUCCUUCACCAUCCUACUAAGUUUUGGAAAUUGAGUUCCACGAGCCCUCCACUAGUUCAAUAAUUGUGGUAUACCUUUAUCGUUUGUAAUAUUAUCUGAACCCUGUUCAAGAUAUUUAACAAAUUCACAUUUAUUAGAAGAGUCAAGACCAAGUUUAUGUUUCACUCUACCAUGGGCACCUACUUGAGGCAUAGACAUUUGAGGAUUUUCAACAUUAUCUAAGGAACAAUAUUUAUCAUACAUUUCUUUAGCAAGUAAUUUUAUACUAUUUUGACAUGUUACCAAAUCAGGUUUUUCUUCUGGUUUAAUAUCUAAUUUUUGAUAAAUGUAUUCAACUAAAGUUUUUGCACCAUAUUCUUUAUAUUCAGGGUUGAAAAGAAUUGCAGUUAAAUAAAUUUGAGGGAUAGGAAAAACAUAUUUCUUAAAUUUUGUAAUCAUAACUUCAAUAGCACUGGUAAAUAAUUCAUUUGUUUUAUAUUCAGAAAAGAUAUAUGAAAUCUCACAUAUAUGUAUUAAAAUUUCAGAAAUAAUACGAUAAUACAUUCCAGAAAAAAAUUUAGUAGCAUCAUAAAACUAUUUCAAAAAAUUUCUAAGUUCAUUUACUUCAUCUCAAUCACUAUCAUUAAGUUUAAAUUCAGGAUAAGCAUUAUGACUAUUAAAUUGCAUAGUAAUAGGCUCUUUAUAUGUAUAAACAACUUCAAGCAUUUCAUAAAGGAAUUCCAUCUAGUUUUUACAUGCUUCGGAACUUUUCUAAACGGAAGUUUACAUGCAUUACAAAGAUCUUUAAAUUGAUUAAUUCUACUACUGCUAUGCAUAUGAAAAAUAUAAAAACAAGCAUUAUCAACUUUAUCACAACUAUUUUCAAAUAAUUUCACACCAUCACUAACAACCAAAUUUAAUAUAUGCGCAGCACAUCUAACAAGAAAAGAAUAUUUACUAAUAGGACAAAGUCUAGGUUCUAGAAUAUUAAUAGCAUUUAAAUUAGUAGAAGCAUUAUCUAAAGUAAUACUAAUGACUUUAUCAUAAAGACCGAAAAAUCUAAAAUUUCCAACACAGUAGUAGCAAUAUACAUUCCAGUUUUUCUUUUGACAAAUUUUAUAACCAAUAAUCUUUUUUGUAAAAUUCCAAUUAUAAUCAGUCCAAUGCGCAGUAACAGUUAAAUAAUCAAAACCAUUAGGACUAUGACCUAUAUCAAUGGUAAUAACAACUCUACAAUCCAUUAUUUCAAAAUAGGCACACAAAUAUUGACAAUGUUUUUCUUAAAAUUCAAAAAUAUCUCUUUUUACCAUGCUUCUUGAUAAACCUUUAAAACUAGGAUUAUAUGUAUCACGAAUAUAUGCAAUAAAACCCGGAUGUUCUCCAAAACUAAAAGGUAAACCACAAACAACAACUAUUUUAGCAAAAUUUUCACAAUCACGAUCCUUAUUAUAGGUUCGAUGUGUAAGAGGACCACUUGGGUUCGAAGUAUUUAAUUCACCUUGAACCAUAUUUGACCCUAUAGCCGAUGUUUCAAUGUUAGAAUGUUCACAAACAUCAAGAGAAGAUAUAUAUGCAAACCACUCUUUACUAUGCUUAUUAAUCAAAUGUUUUUUUAAUCCCCCCGUUGAACCUCCACUCCCACCAGAUGUAUAUUUAAAAUGUUGUUUACAAAUAUUACAUAUACUAAAAGUUUUUUCUUCAUUCAAAUAACAAAAUUUCCACACAUGUGAUUUUAAAACACGUUGUACCUUGGUCUUACCUCUAGUUGGAACAAUAGGGGGACAACUAGUUCCAACCGGAUGAUUGUCCUCCUGAGGUGGAACUUUAGUACUAUUGAGGUCGGGACUAGUCGGUGUAUCAUCUAAAUCUUCUUCAUCAAUUUCUACUUCUUCAUUUUCUUGAUAAUUACCAUAAUGUCUUUCAUAAACCUCUUUGGGAAUUAUAGGAGUAUCCGAAUUAAUUUCUAUAGGGCCGGGACGAGAAAAACUAGUUUCAUUCACAUGAGUAAAUUCAUCAGUAUUCAUUCUAACAAGAGGAAAAUUAGGUUUAGAAGAACUAGAACCCUUCUUAUUUUUUGUAAGCAUAUUUUUUACUCCAUGUACAAUACCUUUUUUACCUCCACUUUUUUUAGAAAACUCCAUGAUAUAAAAUUAUAAAUUAUGAAAUAAAAAUUUAACAAGAACAAAUAAAAUAUAACAAGAACAACUUACAAAUAAUAAAUACAAAAAAUAAAUAUAAGAUUAGAGAGUGGAACGAAGUUACCAAACGCUUGUGUAAAAAACAAAUGAUUAUAAUCGAAAAUUGAAAAAUUGACGUUCGAAACUUGAAGUUUGAAGAAGAUUCCUACUCCAAAAAUUCACCAAAUGAUUGUUGAAAUCUUCACAAUUAGAAAAUAAUAUGAUUGAAAUUUGAAACUUGAAUAUUGAAAGUAUGGAAACUUUGAGAAAGAUUGGGAAUUGAGAGAAAUUGAUGAUUCUUAAUUGUUAAAUAUUGUAAAUACAUAAAUUGUAAUUAAAAAUAUAAAGAGAGGGAGUAUAUAUAGUUUUUAGAAUUUGUGAUUAUGUGUUGGAAUUGGAAAAUAUAGAAUUAUAGUCGUUGGAAAUAUUUCCGUUGGGAGAAUAGUAGCUUGCCAUUGGCUAGUGGGGAGUGGGCACUGGGGAUGGGACAGGUCGGCAGGGGCAGGGGCAGGGGGCAGCAGGCUUUUCAGCCUUUGCUGACCCCUAGGAAAACUUUUCAGUUGUUGGAAAUAUAGAAAUAUAUAUUAUAUAUAUAAAUAAUUAAUCGGAAUCAGAUCGGACCGGAACGGAAUCGAAAUAAACCGGUACUGGUACACCGGUAUCAAAUCGUGAUACCGUUCCAUCCCGUGUACCGGCUCAAGGUGUCCCGUUCCGUCCCGAAUACUACCGGACCGGAACGAACUGGAAUGGUACCGGAUCGGUACCGAUACAACCCGGUCCGGUGCCCAGCCUUAGUAGGAAGCAAUCCUUUCAACAAUAUCAAUUAGUAGUUCCCUCGGAAGGGAUUCAAUGUAGUUUUUUUUACUCAUAGUCAUUUUUGAAGAUUUCUUAUUCUUUCAAGAUUUCUUAUAUAAUGCCAGGAAAAAUGAAAUGUGUGAAAAAGUUGCAACUUCUAAAGACGAACAGAAGAGAAGAGACACAACUUUUGACUUUUCACAUGAAAGUACUUAUUUUUUUUUUUGGAAAAAAGGGUAAAAUAUGAAGAGUUGUAAUUAAUUUUUUUCUUGAAAGUUGUUCUAAUGACAGUAAUUAUUGAUUGAUGGUUCACACACCUAACACGUAGUUAUUUAUUAGAAAUAUAUUGGAACAGAUGUGUUUUCUGUGGUACUUGUAACACAUAAUUGACAUAUGUUGGAGCAUAUGCAAUAUUAUGUUGUAAGAUCUAACACAUAAUUAAUAUAUGUUGGAAAAGAUGCAUUAUUCUGUAGUAUAUGUAACACAUAAUUGGCAUAUGUUGGAACAUAUGCAAUAUUCUGUUGUAAAAUCUAACACAUAAUUGACAUAUGCAUAUGUUAGAACAUAUGCAAUAUUCUGUUGUAAGUAGCAACACAUAAUUAAAUAAAUCACACAUUUAUAUAAAUAACAUAAUAUAAGUUGAUUCAAAUUAAGAUAAGAAGAUAGGGAACAUCAUCCUCAAAUAAAAAAGAACAUUCAUUAAAAUUCAACAACACUUGUGGAGCAUUUCGAUUUGGGCAUGUAGUUCUUUUGUGGCCAAAGUCCCUACAUACGGAACUACUUAUUUUUCAUGUUGGAAAUGAUUCACCAACUCCACGCCGUCUCUUAUAUCUCAUUCUUCCAAGUUCGCUUUGAUCAACAUAUGGAGGAGGUACUUCUCUCUCUAUGACAUCCAAAGGGACAAUCCAAGAAUCUUCAGGUGGCACCGGGUGAAUUUCCUCACAAUAUGUCAUUAUGUAUUUUUCCACUGAAUAAUAUGGAGAGGAGUACUCAUAAAUCUGAUUUCCAAAAUCGGUACCAUAUUGGGCUCGAAGCGCUGCCAUGGCAUGUGGACAAGGUAUUUUGUCCAAGUCAAAAAUUCUACAAGUACAAGUUCUUCUUUGUAGAUCCACCGUAGCAACAUCACCAUGACCAGCGACACUGAACUUGUAGUUAGUGACUUGAUGAGCCAACAACUUGUUGCCCGCAUUGACAUACUUUGAUAUGUUUUUUUCAAUUGAAAGAACAAAUCUAUUUACAGAGUUCACCAGCUCCAUAUGCCUCUGGUGAAAUAAAAGUGCAAAUCUCCUAUUUAUUUCAUCAAAUAGAGCGACAAUGGGAAAUUCUCUUUCAACAUCAAACAUAGAAUUCACCGACUCCGCAAUGUUGGACGUCAAAAUGUUAUAUCUACACAAUAAAAAAUAAAAAUCAAUCAAAACACAUAAAAUUACAAUAAAAUCAAACGAGAUGGUAUAGACAAUAAUGUACCUAUUUCCUGGGGAAAAUGUCCUGCUCCAUGUGUGGAAUCCAAUACGUUCAAGAGUUUCAGCCGCCUUUGGUACCAAAUCUCUUAUUUAAUUGAAAUGGUCAUUGAACUCACAUCUAUCAUACGCCUUUGUUGCUUUAUAAAAAUGGGUCACUACCUUUGAAUUGUGAAAGUUAUUUUGAAUAUUUUCCCCAAGGUGUCUCAUACAACAACCAUAAUGAGAUGCAGGGUAGAUAGUUGAAACCAUCUUCCGAAUACUUGGAUGCCUAUCAGAAAUAAUGCACAACUCAUCAGUAUCAUCUACAAAGCUUCUCAUAAUUUGAAAAAAAUGAGGCAUUGCAUUCCUUGUCCACAACACAGAAAGCUACUGGAAAUAUAUGAUUCUCAACAUCUUGUGCCACCGCUGAUAGCAAAACUCCUUAAUACUUGCUCCUCAGGAAUGUCCCAUCAACGGCUAUUACUUUUCUCAUUUCUUGAAAACCGGUUAUCCAAGCGGCAUAUGAUACAAAGAAGUACUUGAACCUCCAUUUUCAUCGAGCGACAACGUCCGUCUUGCUUCCUGGAUUUUGCAACUUCAAGCAUAUAACGGUACGCAUUAAGCACUGCAUAUCCGUGCUCAUGUGUUCCUCUAACAUUAGACUUAGCAUGCUCCAUGCCCUUAUAAAUCUUCCAAUAACUUACCUUACAACCCAAUUCUGUGCGGAGUUGAUUUGACAUGUCUCUUGUGGAUGGGCCUUUACCAUUGGGAACCUAUUUUCAAAGUACUUACCUAUGACUUUUGUCGUGGCAUGGGGAUUAUCGCUUGUAAGAUGCUCUGAACCACACGUAUUGUACUUUUCAUGCAUUCUAAUGACAAACCUGUCGCUACUUGUAAAUUUCACUGCCCUCAGCCACCAAUUGCACUCCGGAUAUGAACAUUUAAAAGAAAACACAUUACGAGAAUUGAUCACCUUUUUCAGUCUAAAAUCUUUUUUCAAGCAAGCAAUUUUCAAUGAAUUUGCCUGUUCUUCCUUGUUCUUGAAUGUCAUUCCCUUAUAAAAAACCGGUUUCAUCAUCUCGAACAUUAUUCACACGUGAUGAUUGAGAAGAACAUGGAAUGUAGCUACCAACAAUAGGUAUAGGAGGAUUGUGGCUCUCAAAGUCCGGCACGUCAUCUUUUCCAAUUUCAGCAUCGUGAUUAUUCAUAUCCACAUCAUCAAAUUCAUCAUUUAACAUAUCUUGUUGGUCUUCUUCUAGAUUAUGAUCCUCCUCGAUAGGAUUUUCAUCCACGUAGAUUCUUAAUAUGGGAGGUCUCUCUACUCCUCCCAAAUAAAUAACCAAACUAGGCUGAUCAGUUAUUUUAAAAGGUAAGACCUUCUCACUAUGAAAAAAAUGGGGAAUGUAACUCAUGACAAGAUCUUUCAGUUGACAAUUAUAUCCAUAUUUUUUCAUGACUAAAUUCACAAAAUCAUCAUACAAAAUAUUUCUUUCGACAGUCAUCCCUAUGGACCCUACCCGUUUCUUACCAUCCUUCCAACGCCAAAUGUAUCGAUUUUUCUUCUCGACCCAUUCACCACGACAAUCAAUCCCUACAAAUAAUCCCUCCAUUUACUGUACCUGAAGAAAUUAAUUAAAAAAACAAUUAUUACUAAUGAAGAAAUGUGUAAACUAUUAUGUGGCGACAUGUAAGUCAUAUGUCACUACAUAUAACUGAUAUGUUGUGACAAAUAAAUCACAUGUGGCAACAUGUGUAAGUUAUAUGUAGCAACAUAUGGCUAUCAUGUUGCAAAAUGUAAGUCAUAUGUUGCUAUACAUAAUUAUUCUGUUGCGAAACAUAAAUCACACGUUGUGACAAAAUGUAUAAGUCAUAUGUUGCAGCAUAUAUAGCCAUCUGUUGGAAACGCGAAUGCAAAUUAUUGAAAAAAUUGCGGCUACCCAGAUAAUGAUGAAUGAUUUCAAAGAACUGUUAAUUUCACUUACCAAAACAAUGGUGUGUAAACCCAAUCACUUAUGACGUAAUUCCAAUUGAUACAGAACGAAAUCUGUUUUGAGAAAGUAAGUAUGAGAAUGAGAAGAAUUGUGUCGUUCGUACCCAUAAUUUCGCAUGAACCCUAUGAGUCGAGCAUUCUUGACAUGAGUAGUGUCAUUGAGUCCUUGAGUUCUGGAGUUAUUAAGUUCCGGGUAUUGAGUUCUAUAUAUGGUUAUUGAAACCCUUGAAUUGACUCGUUCACGUCCAUAAUUCGGCAUGAACCCUAUUUUGAGAAGUCUUUUACAAUUAAUUAUAAUCUAUUUUAAGACCUGAGUAAAUGAGUAUGAAGAUGAGGGGAACUGAGUUUUAUAUUUCAAAAUGAUUAUAAGGGAACUAAGUAGUGCCAAGCAUGUAACACUUUUACAUUUAAAACAAGAGAAACAUUGAUUUCUACGUGAGUUAUGAGGAGUAUUGAGUCUCACCUCUUUUAAGAGGAUUUUUGAGUAAUUAUCUCAAAAUGAGGAAGAGUAAUGUUUUUAGACAUUUUAGCAUGAGUUAUAUAUUAUUGGGAGUAGUAUUGAGCACCGAUAUGGGAAUGAGUUCAGACAACUCAAAAAUCCUCAUAAACCAUGUAUGCCAACAUGGUAAAGGGUCAUACUUUUAGAUGAUUCCAUAUUGCUUUUAAGCAUAGCUUCGUGGAUCCACUUAGUUGAGGAUGUUCUAUACUCCGGCAAGGUAUAUGACAGUUUUGGCAGCGUGGGUGAGAAAUUGUAUUAUCACGUAGCUCAUAUUAAUGGUUGUCAGUUAGAGAAUCACUCAAAUAAGAGAUUAGACGAGGUAAGUAUGUUCCUUUUUAUCACUUGAAGCUUAUGUUUAUGCUCUAGAGUUCCCCUUACAUGCUCGUACAUUUAAUGUCCUGACACCAUUUGGCCUGUAUCUUUCAUGAUGCUAAUAAAGGUAUUCAGGGUCAUCAACAGACGCUCUGUUGAUACCACUUGCAGUUCCAGGUAGCUUUGGUGAGCCUCCUUGCUUCCGAAGGGUUCCACUUUUACUUUUCAAUUUGUUAGGAUAUCGUGGGUCUUGUUAUCACGACCCGAUUUAUCAAGUCAUGAUGGCACCUACUAUAACCCACCAGCAGGUAAGCCAACCCGUAACCCGGAACAACAAGUAAUGGGUCUGAGGGUAGAAAUUAAACAGGAGUAGGCAAAUAACAAUAUAAACAGGCGGAAGCAAACCAAAAACAUAUAUACAAAUAAAGAUCCCUCCCAGAACUUGGAAGUCACUAGUACAGAGCUACUACAAAAUGAGUACAAGUCCUAAAACCGGACAACAGAGACUGGACUGUCUCGAAAGGAAAAAGACAAGUCUAUAUAUACAGAUGGAGACUGAAAUAGUACAUAACGUCGUGUGCUCACUCCCAUCUCUGGAUCAGUCUGCUCCAAGCUCGAUCAACGCUGGCUACUAGUGCCCGGACCUGCAUCACGAAAUAGAUGCAGAGCGUAGCAUGAGUACCAAAACAACAGGUACCCAGUAGGCAUCAUCGGCCGACUGAGCAAGAUAAGCAAAAGUAAACUGAAAUGCAAAUAAAGGGUCACAUCAAGUGCAAAGAGUAGUAAAUGGGGGUAUGUAAACGAGCGUACACGCAACAAAGACAAGUAAUCUAACUAACUCCGCCGGGCUCCCAUAAACCCGACGGGUACGCUCGUGCACAAUAAAAGAAACCACCUGCACGGACCCCCAUAAGCCCGGCAGAUGGACCGGCAGUUGAAGUAAAAUAAUGGAGCUAGAAGGUCUAUCACAAUAUUACCAAUUUCCGGACUUUUAACUGAACCAUUCCCAAUCAUAUUCCAAGAUCUCAUUACGUCCCGGACUUUAACCGGAAUCUCUUCAACCUCCAAAACCUCAACCUACAGAUGAGAGUAAUCAAAACUAAACUGAAGCUUUAGUGAGGAAUUGGGAAUACACCACGUGCAAGCUGGACCACGGACUCGAACCGGGUACUAUAGCUAAUGAGUCAACGUGCUGUAGCUAAAACCAGAUCACAGGUAAGCUGGACCACGGACUCUAACCGGGUACUGUAGCUAAAACCAGAUCACAGGUAAGCUGGACCACGGACUCUAACCGGGUACUGUAGCUAAAACCAGAUCACAGGUAAGCUGGACCACGGACUCUAACCGGGUACUGUAGCUAAAACCAGAUCACAGGUAAGCUGGACCACGGACUCUAACCGGGUACUGUAGCUAAAACCAGAUCACAGGUAAGCUGGACCACGGACUCUAACCGGGUACUGUAGCUAAAACCAGAUCACAGGUAAGCUGGACCACGGACUCUAACCGGGUACUGUAGCUAAAACCAGAUCACAGGUAAGCUGGACCACGGACUCUAACCGGGUACUGUAGCUAAGAAUCAAUAUACAACCAUACGUCGCGAGAAAUAUCACCAAACCGAUUACCAUAAAUAAUCAUUUCAGUCUAGCCCUCAUAUACCUCAAAUCGCCGAGGAAGUAUCCAAUAGUGAGUAAGCUAGACCACAGACUUUAACCNNNNNNNNNNNNNNNNNNNNNNNNNNNNNNNNNNNNNNNNNNNNNNNNNNNNNNNNNNNNNNNNNNNNNNNNNNNNNNNNNNNNNNNNNNNNNNNNNNNNNNNNNNNNNNNNNNNNNNNNNNNNNNNNNNNNNNNNNNNNNNNNNNNNNNNNNNNNNNNNNNNNNNNNNNNNNNNNNNNNNNNNNNNNNNNNNNNNNNNNNNNNNNNNNNNNNNNNNNNNNNNNNNNNNNNNNNNNNNNNNNNNNNNNNNNNNNNNNNNNNNNNNNNNNNNNNNNNNNNNNNNNNNNNNNNNNNNNNNNNNNNNNNNNNNNNNNNNNNNNNNNNNNNNNNNNNNNNNNNNNNNNNNNNNNNNNNNNNNNNNNNNNNNNNNNNNNNNNNNNNNNNNNNNNNNNNNNNNNNNNNNNNNNNNNNNNNNNNNNNNNNNNNNNNNNNNNNNNNNNNNNNNNNNNNNNNNNNNNNNNNNNNNNNNNNNNNNNNNNNNNNNNNNNNNNNNNNNNNNNNNNNNNNNNNNNNNNNNNNNNNNNNNNNNNNNNNNNNNNNNNNNNNNNNNNNNNNNNNNNNNNNNNNNNNNNNNNNNNNNNNNNNNNNNNNNNNNNNNNNNNNNNNNNNNNNNNNNNNNNNNNNNNNNNNNNNNNNNNNNNNNNNNNNNNNNNNNNNNNNNNNNNNNNNNNNNNNNNNNNNNNNNNNNNNNNNNNNNNNNNNNNNNNNNNNNNNNNNNNNNNNNNNNNNNNNNNNNNNNNNNNNNNNNNNNNNNNNNNNNNNNNNNNNNNNNNNNNNNNNNNNNNNNNNNNNNNNNNNNNNNNNNNNNNNNNNNNNNNNNNNNNNNNNNNNNNNNNNNNNNNNNNNNNNNNNNNNNNNNNNNNNNNNNNNNNNNNNNNNNNNNNNNNNNNNNNNNNNNNNNNNNNNNNNNNNNNNNNNNNNNNNNNNNNNNNNNNNNNNNNNNNNNNNNNNNNNNNNNNNNNNNNNNNNNNNNNNNNNNNNNNNNNNNNNNNNNNNNNNNNNNNNNNNNNNNNNNNNNNNNNNNNNNNNNNNNNNNNNNNNNNNNNNNNNNNNNNNNNNNNNNNNNNNNNNNNNNNNNNNNNNNNNNNNNNNNNNNNNNNNNNNNNNNNNNNNNNNNNNNNNNNNNNNNNNNNNNNNNNNNNNNNNNNNNNNNNNNNNNNNNNNNNNNNNNNNNNNNNNNNNNNNNNNNNNNNNNNNNNNNNNNNNNNNNNNNNNNNNNNNNNNNNNNNNNNNNNNNNNNNNNNNNNNNNNNNNNNNNNNNNNNNNNNNNNNNNNNNNNNNNNNNNNNNNNNNNNNNNNNNNNNNNNNNNNNNNNNNNNNNNNNNNNNNNNNNNNNNNNNNNNNNNNNNNNNNNNNNNNNNNNNNNNNNNNNNNNNNNNNNNNNNNNNNNNNNNNNNNNNNNNNNNNNNNNNNNNNNNNNNNNNNNNNNNNNNCUUCCAAGAAGGUUGACCAAAGUCAACUUUUCAAGUUAUAAAAAUCUCCAAAACAGGAAAACGGGCCCAAAACCCAAACGAACGACCAGGCGACCGAACAGUCAGUGCCAGCAAGUCAUAAAUGACUUGGGUCGCUACAGGAAUGCUCUAAACGAUGAAAUGAAUUCUUUAAUGACCUGGAGGGUCAUUACACUUGUCCCGAUAAUCUUUCUGUAAUAGUAGAGGCUUCAUAGAUAGUUUGAAGGUUAAGGAGUUUAUCAUUAUUUCCUUUGUUGUUGCAAUAUUUUGAGGUCACGAGACAUUUAACUAAUACUUGUUCAAUUAUUUUCACACAAUUAUUGGAGUUGAGUUUUUAAAGUUAUUUAUGCAUUUGGAGUUUCUAUUUUGUUUGAGUAAGUCUUCCGCUGAGUAAUGAAUCAGGCCAAGGGUUCAUUUGGGAACCAGCAAUAGUUCUCGAGUGCCAGUUACGCGCCGGGUGUAGGCUCGGGGGUUGACAAUGUCAAGCUCUAGAGAUAUAUAAAAACAAUAACAAUAAAGUAUACAUAUUUUCAGAAAAGAAUGUCCUCCUCCAUUUGUGAAAUCCAACCUCUUCAAGAUGUGCGGCUGCCCCAGAAAUCAUAUCUCUGAUUUGAUGAAAGUGAUCAUUAAACUUAUCUUCGUUAUAUGCUUGUGUUGCUUUUUAAAAUUGGUAGAUGAUUUUUUCAUUGUGAAAAUUAUUUCUGAUAUUUUUUCUGAGGCAUGUAACAUCCAUAAUGAGUUGAAGGGUAGACAAUUGAAAACAUGCAUUUUUUAAUGCUCAGAUGUCGAUCAGAAAUAAUGCACAAUUCAGGGGUAUCAUCUACUAAGCUUUUCAUUUGCUCAAAAAAGUAUCAUUGUGAGGUGUCCCACUUAUAAUUGACAUCUACUGAAAAAAUAUGUUUUUCUAUCCUGUGCAACAACAAAUAAUAACUCUCUACCAUACUUUUUCUUUAGAAAUAUUCCAUCGACAACUAUGCCUUUUCUCAUAUGUCUAAAACCAAGAAUUCAAGCCCGUAUAGCCACAAGAAAAUACUUAAAUUUACAAUUUUCAUCAAGCUUCAAUAUUUUUCUAAUUCCCGAAUUUACUAUGCUAAGCAUAUAAAGAUAUGCAUCAAGGAUUGCAUAUCCAUGCUCAUAUGUUCCCCUUAUUAAAGACUUCGCAAUCUCGCUUCCCUUUCAUAUUUUUCAAUAACUGACUUUGUAGCCCAAUUCCAAACGGAUUGAAGUCUUCAUAUCUUUUGUCGAUGGGCCUUUAUCCUCGGAAAAUUUAUCUUUAAAGUAUGCACCAAUGAUUUUUGUUGUAGCGUGUGGAUUAUGGCUCGUAAGAUGUUAAGAACCACAUGUGUGAAACUUUGCAUACUUUUCUAUGUAAAACUUUUCAAACUUUUAAACUAUACAACUCUUAACCACCACUUGGAUUCCGAAUUUACACACUUGACACUAUACACCAAACACGAGUUUUUCACCUUUUUAAAUCUGAAAUCUUUCUUCACGCAAGCAGUUUUCAAUGCAAUAUCUAGAACUUGCUUGUUUUUGAAUGACAUACCAUUAUAAAAAUUUGCUUCGUCAUCUUAAACAAGAUUCAAUUGUGUUGAUUGUGUUAUUGGCGGAUUAAGGGCAACUUUAGGAGUAGGUGCAAUUUGUUCACCUUCAUUUGUUUGUGAACCUUCAUCAUUUAACACUUGUCGGCUUUGAGAUGUAUUGUGUUUCUCUAUCAUUAUUUCAACCACGUUUACCCUUAAAAUGAGUGUAGCUUCAUCUCCAAAUAAGUACGCAAACUAGCUUGAUUUUUAAUCCAAAAAGGAGCAACCCUCUUCUUUUCAUCACAACUGUACAUGUAAGUGAUGACAAUAUCUAACAACUCACAAUCUAAUUCACAUUUGGUAAUGAUUCUGUUUGAAAAAUCAUCAUAUGCGACAUCUCGAUGCACAGUCAUGCUAUUGUCUCGACCAAUUAUUUACCCUUUCAACGCCAAAUAAAAUGAUUGUCAGACUCAAUCCAUUCACCAUGACAAUCAACCCCAAAUGUUAUUUUGUUCCCUAUUAAUGAUAUUGAAGGUACCUUGAGAUAAUAUGAUUUAAAAAUCAAAAUUAGUCAUUAUUUAAAAUUAUAAUGCAAGAGCUGUUUCAUUAGUUGAAGCAACAUGUGCAAUAGUUGCUAUAGAUUAUUCAACAACUACUGCAUAUGUUUCAUAAGUUGAAUAUGUUGCACCAACUACUAAAAUAAAUGCAGCAACUACUGAAACAUAGUCAACAGUUGUAUAUUCUUCAGCAGUUGUUGCAAUUGAUGAAGCAGUUGUUAAAAAAUAUCUAAGCUAUUAUUGCAUAUUUUUCAGCAACUAUUUGAUCUAUUUCAGUACCUGCUGCAACAUUGCUGAAACAGCACCAGCGGUUGCUAAAAUGAUAGAAAUAACUAAAACUGAAGAAAUAGCUCAAAUGAACAAUAAAACAAAAAUUAAAUGGAUUCACUUACCAAAAUGAUUAAAAAUCACCUCUCAAGUAAAUUCCCAAGCUACACAAACAAGAGUUAGUCCAUAAAUUGAGAAAAAUAAUAUUUUUUCCUCAAAAGGAGGAGGAGGAGGAGAAGAAGAAGAAGAAGAACGCACAAGAAAAUGGAACCGACAGAGAGGAGGAGAAGAAGAAGAAGAAGAAGAAGAACGCAAAAGAAAAUAGGAACCGACAGAGAGGAGGAGAAGAAGAAGAAGAAGAACGCAAAAGAAAAUAGGAACCGACAGAGAGGAGGAGAAGAAGAAGAAGAAGAAGAACGCACAAGAAAAUGGAACCGACAGAGAGGAGGAGAAGAAGAAGAAGAAGAAGAACGCAAAAGAAAAUGGAACCGACAGAGAGGAGGAAGAAGAAGAAAAGCGUGGGUAAUCCAAGGAAGAAAGAGAGGCAAAUUCUUCUUCCAUAAUUAGAAAAAAUAGGGUUUUAUUUGAAAGGUUGGAAGUGUAAAUAAAAAAACUUGAGGACUUAUUUUAAAAUGGUCAAAUGACAUUAAAUCCUAAUUAUAAACUUGUCACCUACACUCAAUUCUUGAAACUUGAGUCACUCUUUUAAUAUUUUAAAAUAUUUUUGUCACCCUUAAUUGAUUCUCCCGUCUUUCCUUUCAUAAUAUACUUAUUGAUGAGAAAAAUUCAUAAAUAGCUAAGAGAUGAAACUUCAUGAGUCUUCUUAGCUACAGUUUGGCUAAUUACGUUCCAUAUUUAUAGUUUCAUUUGUUAUACUAAUUUUUGUUUGUAUAUUUCAUUGCUUUCUUAUAAAUUAUACAAUUGGAUUAACACAAAUAACAUAUUAUAUACAAUUAUUUGUAUUGUAUAAAAACUAUUAAUAUAGAUAAAUAAGUAAUUGUAUAAAAGUAUUGAAAUUAGGUCAUUUCCAAUAAAUAAUAUAAUAUAUUACAUUAAUUACAAAUUAUGAUACAAUACAUACUAUUACUGAAAAUAGCACUAGUUUUAUUACCUGAAGUAGCAACACAAUUUUCUCUUUAUACUCUCUCUCUCUUCCAUGAAUUGUCCAUUUUUUGUAUUUUUUUAUUGAAGUAAUUUAUUUCCGUCUUUCUCUCUUCCUCCUUUCUUCUCUUUUCUUUUUCUUUUGUCUCCCCCUCUUUCUCUUUUACCCUCUUUUUAAAAACAAAAUAAUAGAUUAUUUUUUGUUUAAGAUUUGGUUUUGAAUUGGUAUUAUGAUAAAUAAUUUUUAAAACAUUGAAACUUAUAUGUUAAUAUUUAAGAUUGUUUGGUGAAGACUAAAAUUUAUUUAUUUUGAAGAUAUUAAACUAUGAAGACUCUUUUUUGACGUCAUUAAUAAAAUAAAUAAAUAUAAAUUAUACUUGUAAUACAUUUUGAAUUCAAUACAUUAUACAUAUUAUAGAUAUUUAUUCAAUGCACGUGGUAAAUAUAUAAUUCAUAUAUUUUUAAUACAAUACUAAUACAUUUUAACAUUGUUAAUAAGAGAAAAAAGAAUUUUUUUAAAAAAAUUAUAAUACAUUUUGAAUUCAAUAUCUAAUACAUAUUAUAUGCAUGUUUCAAUGCAUGUGCUGAAUAUAUAACUAAAAGUAUUUUAAUAAAAAUAUAUUAUAAGUAUUAUGUGUGAAUUUCAAAUAUUUUUGUAUAAUUUAAAUUAAUUUUAUGUUGUUAAAAUGUAUUUUAUUUGUUGGAAUAACAACAAUCAAAUUUAUAACAAUGUAUAUAUUGAAUUCAAAUUGUAUUACAACUAUUGUUUAUGUUAUAACACAUAAACUAAUUUGAAUAUUUUUUUAAUAUUUGAAAUUCAAGUAUAAUGUCCUUUUAAUGUCAUUUAAUAAGAAGAAAAAAUAAACAAUAAUUAUAAUGCAUUUUGAAUUCAAUACUUGAUACCAUUAGGGUAUAUAUAUAUAUAUACCCUAAUGGUAUGAAGGAGUAAAUUAGUACUUCUUUCCCUGAAUUAUUCUUUGAUACCACCAGAGUAUAUAUAUAUCCUAAUGGUAUGAAGGAGUAAAUUAGUACUUCUUUCCCUGAAUUAUUCUUUGAUACCACCAGAGUAUAUAUUUACCCUAAUGGUAUGAAGGAGUAAAUUAGUAGUGGUUUUAUAUAUAUCCUAAUGGAAUCAAAGAGUAAAUUAGUAGUUUUUUCAUUUGAUCACUCUUUGAUACCACCAGAGUAUAUAAAUAUACUCUAAUAAUAUCAAGAAGUAAUUUAGUAGUUUUUUCACUGAAGUGACUUUUUCUUCAUUGAUACCGCCAGAGUAUACGCUGGUGGUAUCAAGUAUAAAUUUAGGUAAAAAUGAUACCAUUAGGGUAUGUGUAUAUAUAUAUAUAUAUAUUAUAUUGCCUUAAAAGCAUGAACUUCUAACUUGAAUGUUAAAUUACUAUAAUAUCUCUAACUUACGUUGUGACUUUUUGGAUGAGUUGUGACUUUUUCAAUAAGUUGUGACUUUUUUCUAAGGGUUGUGACUUUUCCAAAGAGUUGAGACUUUUUCAAAGAGUUGUGACUUUUUCAAAGAGUUGUGACUUUUUCAAUAAGUUGUGACUUCUCGAAAAGGUCAUGACUUUUCAAAUAAGACACAAAAAUAUUUGUUCAUACUACCCUUUGUUGACUAUAAAUAGAAGGACUUCCUUUCAUUUUUCAAACACAAUUUUUUUAAUCUUCUACUCUUCUUCUUCUUGCAUUUUAAAUGUUUUUGUGUGAUUUAUUAUCGUUGAGUGAGUUCGAAGUUUAGCGGAAUAUGAGGUAUCACUAUUCUGAUGAAGUAAGUCGUUCUAUCCUAAGAGGGUAUAUUCCAUAACCUCGAGUACUUGAGGAAAAUAAUUUUGAUGAUAUAAUAAUUAAUUUUUUGCUUAAUAUAUACAUUAGUAUAUAAUGUUCCAAUGUAUGAAGUUAACAUGAUGUAGUCUAAAUUCAUUUGUUUUUGUUAACAAUUUCUCUUGUGAUGUAGAUAUAUGCUUCUGAAUAUCUUUUCAAAAAUUUAGAGAAUUGUCAUGAUUUGGUUUGAUGAUCAAGACAAAAGAAUGACUUUAUUUAUCAAUGCUACUUAUGUUAUUUAGACUCUCAUGAAGUUUGCUUCAAAAUAGUUAUUAUUAUAUAAACAUUGUCCUUUUGUUUUACUUAUUUAUAUAUUUCUUAAUAUUUCAGUAUUUUAGAUGAAGAAAAGUUCAUAUGACUUGUAAUAAUGCCAGUUGAAGUUUGUAUUAGUUUAAUUUUUAUUAUUCAUUUAAUAAUUAAUUUUUAUGAGACAAAUAUUUUCAUUAAUGCAAAUAUAUAUUUAUAUUUGGGUAGGUAUUUGUAUUUAAAUUAAAGUAUUAUAUAUGUCACAAAUGUAUUAUCAAGUCAACAAGAUCUUCUAACUUCAAAAUAUAUUAUUUUAAAAUGUUCAGAGUUUUUUUUAUGUUCAUAUGACAUCUAAAAAAAUUAACGUGGAAAACACAUGUAAAGCACAUAUGGUUAGAUGACAAGAAAAAUACAAAGCAAAUAUUGUCUAUAAGGUAAUAUUAGUGAGAUAAGACUAAUUGCAUAAUUGAACCUCAUCAAAUUGAAAUAAAUAUAUACAUUAUUGCAUUUAACUAAUAAAAAAUUUCAUUGACCAUCUUCAUAGGUUUGCGUGAAUAAGAGAUAUAUAUGACGAUCCACGUUGAACAUUUGCAAAAAAAUCUGCAAUAUUAUUUUUUGCUAUGAUUAUUCAAAUCUUCGCUUAAAUAAGUCAUACUAUUUACUAUAACAUAUAUUUUUGAAAUUGGUAAUCACGUGCAAUGCACGUGUCAAAAAACUAGUAAAUAUGUAUAUAUACACACACUUGAUACAGCUAGGUUAUAUAUAUAUAACCUAAUGGUAUUAAGGCAUAAUUGAAUAGUAUUUCCGUUGAAUCACAUUUUGAUAUCAAUAGAGUAUAUAUAUAUAUAUAUAUAUAUAUAUAUAUACGCUGAUGGUAUCAAGGAGUAACUUAGUAGUGUUUUCACUUAAGUGACUUUACUUCCUUGAUACCACCAGAGUAUAUAUAUACUCUGAUAGUAUCAAAUAUCAGAUGGUUAUUAAAGCUUAAGUUAUGUCAUAAAUGAUAAUAAAUAUAAAGUAACAUUAAAAUGGGUAAUUAAUCAAAUAAAAUAUAUUAUUUAAGUAAAAAUUCCUUAAAAUUAUGCAAUUGAUUUGUGUAAGGUAUUGUGGGUGAUAAUAUACAAGAAAAAAUAUCCAACCACAACUCAAAAAAUUAUAUAGAACCAAACACCAGCAAUGGAAGUUUGUAUAUACACAACUACGCAUAGAUGUGUACAAUAUAAUAACAAAAUCAGUAAUGUGUAUACAAAUACAAAAGUAUAUACAAAUUAAUAUAUACAAAAAGGGUUUAUACAAAUACCUGAGAUUCUUCACAUACAAACGAAAAUCAAUAAAAAAAAUGGUUGAAACACAUUUAGGUGGUUAUUUGAAAUUGAGAUGUCACGAUUAGGAGGGAGAAAGAGAGCGUUCAAAAUUCAAAUUUGAUAUGGUUGAGAGAUUUUGAAAGAGAAAUCAAUGAGUAGAGAGGAGAGAUAAAUUGUGUUUUGUAUAAAAGGUAUACAAAUCAUGCAAGAAUGUCUUCUCAUUCCUAAUACAAAUUAAUUUAGUGGAUCCCGAAUUUAAUAGAAAAUUUCAUUAAACUAUAGUUGUGAUUCAUAAUUAUAUGAAACUAUAAUUCUAUUAAAUAAUACGUUAGUAAUAUUUGUCAAUUCACAUAUUUUUUUCAUUAUUGAUUAUUGAUGACCACAAUUCCACAAGCAAAAUAAGAUGUUGGUUAUUGCAUGAGAAGAAAAAGGAGAAUUUUGCAAUGAAAAUGAAAGUAGAGACUCAAGAGUUCUACUUCAACUUCUGCUUUUAUCGAGAGCCUCGUCCCUAUCCCGCACCAGCUUCAAAGCUUAGGUUUUUUCUUCAUUUCACCGUGCCCCAUAUCCGCACCGCCCAUUAGCAUUCCUAGAUCUAUGGAGCACAUUAUUGUGCAUUUCUUGAUAAAGGUAAAUUUUUGGAAAUAAUUACUAGGGAAUAAUGCAAAAUAAAUAAAUAAUAAUACUCCCUCCGUUCACUUUUACUUGUCACUUAUUUCCUAAAAUAGAUUUUUGUUUUUACUUGUCACUUUUGACAUAUUAAGAAAAGAUAAUUAUUUUUUCCAUGUUUUACCCUUAAUAUUAAAUACUUAUUCUCCAAAUUAUUUUCCAAGACCUAAUACUAAACAUCAUUUAAUAAAAAUAGUUUGGUAAAAUACUUAUAUCAACAAUUAUUUUCUUAAUGGGUGUGCUAGGUCAUACACUAACAAGUCAAAUUGAACAAAGGGAGUAAUAAAUAUUUAUACAGCGAAUUUUUACUGAAUUUAAAUCCACAAGAAAUUAGAAUUAUAAUAAAUUCAAAAUAUAUUAGUUCAAAUAGAUAUUUUGAAUUGUUAUAAUUAAAUUAAUUGUAUAUUUCAAUAAAUAUAAAUUAAUUAUAGUCUAAUAUCAUGAGAUUAGUCCAUUGAUUUAGGCAACAAAUAAUAAGCCCGUUUUGCCGAGCCGAAACCUAAUUAAAUCAAAAGUCAAUGAAAAUGUAUCAUGCGUACAAGUGGCAUAUUCUCACCAAUCAAAUAUUAUCGUGUCAUCCUACAACUAUAAAUAAGAGUCUCAUAAUUUAAAAGGGAAACAACAAAGAACUCAUAGAUCAAAUGAUGCAUAUUUCUAUAUACUCGAAUAUUUCUUUAUUUUUGAAAGAAGAAUGGUAGAGAUUGCAACAUUCAAAGAUUAAAAUCAAUUACUAGGAUUGUUGCUAACAUUUUAAUUUCUGGACUAGAAAUUUAUGUCUACACAAGUCAUUCAAGAUGAAAGGUCAAGGAAGAAGAAAUUGGCGCAUAACAUUUAUAUAUUCUAACAAAAACACUUCAACUCCAGACAAAAGACUGCAAAAUUGAAAACUUGAUAUCAUCAUCUCUGCCAGCAAGGACAGUACACUUAUUCAAUUGUUUAGUUCUAGAAAGUAAACCAUACAGAUUAUGUUUGAGAAAAUGAUCAAAAUAAUCCUUCAUGUAUAGGGGUUGAAUUAUUUUGGUCCUUCAUAUAUAUCAAUUUAUCUAAAUGGUCCUUAAUGUAUGCAUAAAGAGUAUCAAUUUAGUCCUAGACCUCCAUCCACUUUCGUUCACCAUCAAGACUGUUCUUCCUCAAUCUGCUUUUGUUCACCAUCACCACUGCAGACCUUUCUCCUCAACUUCCUUCUUUCGUCAUUUGAAGUCCAUAAGAAAAAUAAUACACACUACACCCAUUUCAUUUCCAUCGAAAUAAAAUUUUCACGCUUCCAUUAUCAUACAUAAAGAAGAAGAAGAAAACCAAGAUCAUCAGAUAAAAGACUCCACUUAUUCUCUCUUGUUGAGGCGAUCUAUGGGGAGUAUAUAGCUUUCUUUUCGUUUUAUCCUUUACAAAAUUAGUAAUUUUUUCAAGCCAUUUUUUUCAUUCUACUUUUAAAAUUUAAUGGUAAAAUUUUAACGGACAGAAAUAGAAAACAAAAACCUUACAAAUAUUCUUUUGAAAUUUAAAGAUACUUUUGUGUGUGUGAGAGGAUUUUGGGAGCAGAAAUUGUAGAAGAAAUGGCAAAAGAAAGAAGGUGAAGGAGAAGCAAUGGUGGAAGAAAGAGGGAGGAAGAAGGGGCCCACCAAGUGUGGGACCCAACAGUUAAGUUUAACAGUUUCUUUAUGUUUUCAGUUAGAUUUUAGGUCUAGGACCAAAUUGAUACUCUUUAUACAUACAUUAAGGACCAUUUAGAUAAAGUGAUAUAUAUAAAGGACCAAAAUAAUUCAAACCCUAUAUAUAAAGGACCAUUUUGAUCAUUUUCUCGAUUAUGUUUAUGUAAUAACAGUUGGGGCAGAACGACUAGUGUAUUCCUGCAUUUUCGAUAGUUUAAGAG